rnacentral:lncRNA from 1 species
GGUAUAAUCGUUCUCUUAUUAAACACCCAUACUUUUAGUUUCUAUCCAUUUGUCAUCUCAAUCUCUCUCAAUUAUUCUUUAUUGCUAGCUCAAAACGCAUUGCUGUUGCAAAUUAUAGCAAAAAGACAAAUAUGGAAAAGAAAAAAGGGUAGAAAAUUAAUGCAUGAAAGACUUGGAGAAAACAAUGAACUAAGUCAACUAUAAUCUAGCUGGGUGUAUAAAUUGUUUGAUGCUUUAUAAGCAAAUAACAUACAGAGACAGACAAUGUGUGUUCGUUUUUUCAUAGUUAAAGAUAUAGUUAGAAUGGGUGGUUCAAAAUCAAAAAUGGUGAUAAUGUUUGUUAUGUUAUUAAUAAUAUUUAAAAGUGGGUGGACUGAGGGAUGUUUGGAUCACGAGAGAUUUGCUCUUUUGCGACUCAAACAUUUCUUCAAUGAUCCUCAUAAUUCUCUUUACGACUGGGCCGAUGAUGAGGGAGCUAUUGAUUGUUGUCAGUGGGAAAGGGUUGAGUGCAGCAACACCACAGGCCGAGUGAUAGCGCUAGACCUUUUUGAAAUGUAUUCGGGAGAGUACAGCUGGUAUCUGAAUGCUUCUUUGUUUACUCCCUUCCAACAACUUGAGUCACUUGAUUUAACUUACAACAAUAUAGCCGGUUGUGUUGAGAAUGAAGGUGCUUCGUUUAAUUUAAUUAAUUUACUUUCUCCCCCCUAAUUUAAGUUGAAUAUCAAGACCGAGCAAUUAUAUGCAUAUUCAUUCAGUUGACAAUUUUGACUUAUUUUUUUUAAAUGAUUAAUUUUGAAAUUACACCAGUAUCUAUCAUCUUUUUUUUUAUUAUUAUUGCAGGUAUAGAGAGGCUAUCAAGAUUGAACAACUUGAAGAUGCUUAAUUUAAGUGAAAACUCAUUCAAUAAUACCAUUUUAUCAUCUCUAACUCAUCUUUCAUCAUUAAGAUCAUUAAAUUUAUAUGGGAAUAGUUUGGAAGGAAGUAUUGACGUUGAAGGUACAUAAUUAAAACUUCAUCCCUUCUCCAACCUCUUUCAUUAACUUGCUAAAAUAAGAUUCAAGGCUUUGAAUUCAAUUUUUUUAUGAUUAAUAUUAAAAAAACAGUUUUAAGCAAUUUAUAAAUACAAGUUUUAAUGUUUCUUGUAAUUUCAUCUUGUACUUUCAUAUGUCUUGAAUUUAAGAUUAAAAAAAAACUCUAAUAGCGAACCAAACACCUCCACAACUUCUUAUUAUUUGUGGUGAGGUUUGAAACAUUCAACUCAAUUUGUACUUAUUACAGAAUUUGAUUCUUUGAGAGAUUUAGAGGAGCUAGACAUUGGCGGGAACAAGAUUGACAAAUUUGUGGUCUCAAAAGGUACUACAAAUACCAUAAAAAAAAUAUGCUAACUUUUACAAAUUAGUUAGAUUCUUUGCCAUUUGGUUUAUUAUUUUACAGGUUUGAGUAAGUUGAAGUCUCUCGGUUUAAGUGGUAUCAAACUCAAUCGUAGCAUCUUAUCUUCUCUUUCUUCGUUAAGAGAAUUAGAUAUAAGUCGUACGGGAUUCAAAGGAACAUUUGAUGUUCGAGGUAAGCCUAAACCUUGCUUUCUCAUUUUAUAUAUGCCAACUAGAUUUGUGUAUCAUCGACAUAAUUUAAUAUUUAAUUUGAUAAGUCUGAAUGAAUUACAUGCUAAUUUAAACAUACUUUUAUUUACUCUAUCAAUCAAUUAAUUAAUUAAUUACUAUUUGGCUUGGUUUGGACGAAAUUCUCAUGAUGUUUUAAUUUCUUUAAAUUAAUUAAUUAAUUAACUCUGUUUUUAAGUCUUAAGUCUGGGCGUGUUUGCAGAAUUUGAUUCAUUCAACGACUUAGAAGUGUUGGACAUGAGCUACAAUGAAAUCGACAAUCUUGUGGUUCCUCAAGGUAAACAAUUAAAAUGUUAUUCAAUUACAUUAUUUUAAUUCAUUUGAUUAGGGAAGGCCAAAAAGGUCCAAAAAAAUAAUAAUAAUAAAGAAACAUAUAAUUUGUAUUAUUUAAAAAACAGAAUGUAAUAAAGAUUUGAUUCCAGUUCUUCAAUCUUUAAAGCGAUUGAAAAACAAUGUUGCUCUUUUCCCAAAGCAUAAAAUACGAAUUGAAUGCCAAUUAACUUAAUCAUUCAUUUCGUUUAGCUCUAAAUUUAGACAAUGAAUUUUUAUAUUAUUUCAAAAACAGGACGUAAUAGAAUUUAAAAAAAAAACAGAUUGUAAUGAAGAUUUGAUUCCAAUUUUUUAAUCUUUGCAGCGAUUGAAAAACCAUACCGCUCUUUUCCCAAAGCAUAAAAUACGAAUUGACUCCCAAUUAAAUUAAUCAUUUAUUUUGUUCAUCUCUGAAUUUAAAUAAUGAAUUUUGAUCUUCAAUCAUAUUCUAACUACUAUUAAAAAAAUAGGUUACAAAGGUUUGAGGAGGCUGAAAAGUCUUGAUCUAUCGGAAUUUGAAAUUAGAGAUGGAAGCAAGUUGUUACAGUCAAUGGGAUCAUUCCCAUCCCUCAACACACUUGUCCUGACGGAUAAUAAUUUUACCGAUAUAGCGACCGCUACUCAAGGUAAGUAAAAGGUACAGAUGUGGCCAAAUUUAUAAAUAAAUUGUUAAUUAAUUAAUUUUUCCGUAUUAUUAAUUAAGCUAAAUUUGUUGCUCCUUCCUUCUAAUUCUAAACAGAGUUGCACAAUUUCACCAACUUGGAAUAUUUGACAUUGGACGAAUCCUCUCUCCAUAUAAGCCUUCUGCAAAGCAUUGCAUCAUUAUUCCCUUCGUUAAAAACUCUGUCGAUGUUUGGUUGUGAAGUCAACGGUCUCGUACGCGGUCAAGGUAAAAGAAAAGCGUUGAUUGUGAACUCACUCAAUGGUGUCCUACGUGUUCAACAUUUUUGUUUAUUUAUUUAUUGUUUAAUGUUUCUGCUAGGUUUUCCCCAUUUCAAGAGUUUGGAACAUUUGGAUAUGGAUUACACGCGCAUUGCACUCAACACCAGCUUUCUUCAAAUCAUCGGUGAAUCGAUGCCUUCUCUUAAGUACUUAUCACUGUCAUAUUCUAAUCUUAGCACUAACAGCAGCAGGAUUCUUGAUCAAGGUUAAUGAGAUGCUGCCACCCUCCCCUCUUAAUCUGUAAUAUUAAUUUUCAAUUCAAUAUUUAAUUACACAAACCAAUCACUUCUAUAUAAAAGAAUACUAUGCUUUUGUUAAAUUUUUUUAUUGUACUGAUGGAUAAAUUAAUAAAUUUUCAGGCCUCUGUUCGUUGGUGCAUCUGCAAGUGUUGUACAUUUAUAAUAAUGAUCUGAGAGGCAGCUUGCCUUGGUGCUUGGCAAAUAUGACAUCCCUCCGAUUAUUAGAUGUUUCUUCCAAUCAACUUACUGGAAGCAUCUCCUCAUCUCCCCUCAUUCAUUUGACAUCCAUUGAAGAGCUGAUGCUUUCAAACAAUCACUUCCAGAUCCCAAUUUCACUUGAACCACUUUUCAAUCACUCAAGACUCAAGAUUUUCAAUGCUUAUAACAAUGAAAUAAAAGCUAAAAUAACUGAGUCACAUUCUUUGACCGCCCCAAACUUCCAAUUAUCACGUCUCUCAUUGUCUUCCAGUUACGGAGACGGUUUCAUAUUCCCCAAAUUCCUUUACCAUCAACAUGACCUGGAGUAUGUUGAUCUCUCACACAUAAAGAUGAAUGGAGAAUUUCCAACUUGGUUGUUGGAAAACAACACAAAAUUAGAAACUCUUUCUCUCGUCAAUGAUUCUCUUGGAGGACCUUUUCGGUUGCCAAUUCAUUCACACAAGCGGUUAGGAAUGUUGGAUAUAUCCAACAACAACUUCCGAGGCCACAUUCCAGUAGAAAUUGCAGAUGUUUUACCAAGUUUAUACGCUUUCAACAAUUCCAUGAAUGCUUUAGACGGUAGCAUUCCCUCUUCAUUUGGUAAUAUGAAAUUCCUCCAAUUUCUGGACUUAUCCAACAAUCACUUGACUGGUGAAAUUCCCGAGCACUUGGCCGUGGGUUGCGUCAACUUGAGGUUUCUUGCGUUAUCAAAUAACAACCUACAAGGUCACAUGUUCUCUAGAAAUUUUAACUUGACAAACUUGAAAUGGUUACAAUUGGAGGGCAAUCGCUUCGUAGGUGAGAUCCCACAAAGUUUGUCUAAAUGCUCCUCACUAGAAGGAUUGUAUCUUAACAAUAAUAGUCUUUCGGGUAAGAUUCCACGAUGGUUGGGUAAUCUCACAAGGUUACAAUGUAUUAUAAUGCCCAAUAAUCAUCUUGAAGGCCCUAUUCCAGUGGAGUUUUGUCAGCUUGAUUUGCUUCAGAUUUUGGACAUUUCAGACAACAACAUAUCUGGAAGUUUACCAUCUUGUUUCCAUCCUCUCUCUAUCAAACAAGUUCAUCUUUCAAAAAAUACGUUACAUGGACAACUAAAAAGAGGUACAUUCUUUAAUUGCUCUUCCCUUGUGACAUUAGAUCUUAGCUAUAACCGCUUGAAUGGCAGCAUUCCGGAUUAGGUUGAUGGGCUUUCUCAGUUAAGCCACCUUAUCUUAGGUCACAAUAAUCUUGAAGGUGAAGUGCCAAUUCAAUUGUGCGAAUUGAACCAACUACAAUUGUUAGAUCUUUCUAAUAAUAAUCUUCACGGUCCUAUUCCUUCUUGCUUUGAUAACACCACACUUCAUGAAAGUUACAGCAAUAGUUCUAGUCCUGAUGAGCAAUUUUAAAUAUCUUUUUUCAUCCAAGAAACUCAAGGAUAUGUAGAAAAGCAAAUCCAUGAAAUUUUUGAGUUCAUAUAUGUAGAAAAGCAAAUCCGUGAAAAAUUUGAGUUCACAACAAAGAACAUUGCGUACAUUUACCAAGGAAAAGUGCUUAGCCUCCUAUCAGGACUUGAUCUUUCUUGCAACAAGCUAAUCGGUCCUAUUCCUCUUCAAAUUGGAAAUUUGACAAGGAUUCAAACAUUGAAUCUAUCACACAACAACUUGACAGGAUCGAUCCCAUCAACAUUUUCAAACUUGAAGUAUGUCGAAAGUUUGGAUCUUUCCAACAACAAAUUGAAUGGGAAAAUCCCUCAUCAACUAGUGGAGUUAAAGACAUUGGAGGUUUUCAGUGUGGCAUACAAUAACUUAUCAGGCGAAAUUCCAGAAUGGACUGCACAAUUUGCAACCUUCAAUGAGAGUAGCUAUGAGGGAAAUACUUUUCUUUGUGGAUUGCCAUUGCCCAUUUGCAGAUCACCAGCAACUAUGUCGGAGGCUUCAAUUGGCAAUGAACGAGAUGAUAAUUUAAUUGACAUGAACAGUUUCUUUAUCACAUUUACAACAUCGUACGUAAUUGUGAUAUUCGCAACUGUUAUUAUUUUAUAUGUAAAUUCUUAUUGGCGACGUAGAUGGUUUUACUUUGUUGAAAUGUGGAUAACUUCAUCUUACUAUUUUGUUGUAGACAAUCUUAUUCCAACAAGAUUUUGUCAUUGAAAUUAAUUAGUAGCUUAAUUACGAUUCUUUAAGUACUAAUCAAGUUUGCUUAGGAAAUAUUUUUUUAUUAAAAUUGUAGUAGUAUUUAGCAUUAUAUAGCUUCCAACUUCCAAGCACUUCACAUUUGUCUCUACACUUAAAAAACUGAGUAAUCAUGUUUUGCAGAUCUGUCCACCAUAACUUAUAGCUUCCCUAUACUGUGCAGCAUACUUAAAUAAGAGAACCAUCUCCAAUGUUAAAAGCAUUCACUCUAUAACAUUCAUUUAGAAACUAUAUUCAGAAUAAUUUUAUAAUUAAACACGAGAAAUGAAACACAUAGAUACACUUGAUCGCCUAUUUUACUCUAAAAAAGAACGAUUAUUGUGCUAUCAUCAUCUUCUUCACUAGCAACAUUAACACCAAAUCGAUGGACCCAUACAUUUCAUCAAGAAAGGUAUAUAUCCAAUAAAGUUGAAGCCUAACAAAAAAUUCAAGAAGAUUAAUGCCUCGCCACAACAAGGGGCACAACAACAUCAAAGUAGAGAUUAAGCAGUAUUCUCAAAGCUAAAACUCUCAAAUCCACCCACCAGAAUUUCAUAUCUCCUCAACAAUUUUAAGAACUAAAGAUAAUUAGGAUUUAACAUUAGUUUUUUAUAUAUUAGUUUCAUAAUUUACAAAUCAAUGAAGAUGAAGAUUAUGCUAAUAAAUUCAAAUUAUACCAUACAUUCUCUAGAUGUUACCAAAAAUUUCUAAGUCAAUCCCACAUAUUUCAUAAUUUUAAGACUAGAAAAUUUCACUAGUUAGAAGUUUCAUUACCUUCAAGUGGAAGAUAAAGAACAUUAUACAAGUGAUUCAGAUUAUAUCAUACAUACUCCAAAUGCAACUAGAAAUUAACAAGUUCAUGCGCACAUAUUUCAUAACAUUAUGAUUGAAAAGUUUCACAAAGAGAAAUUCUAAAUUCAAUCUCUUGCAUGAAGGCAGUUUGAUUGAUUUGAGUUACUUUCUUAUCAAGCUACUAAUAUAACAUUCAAGUCAGGGAGAAAAUAAAUUAAAACUGGGAAGAAAUAAUAGUAAAAAUUUGUUGCUCAACAUGAUGUGUAUUUUUUUUCAAGGCAAUUUGGAAACACAAUUGUUACUACAGAUAUUCUUCUCAACUUGGAGAUAAAUACAAAUAUUAAAAUGCAUAUGAUCGCACAUAUUACUUCGAGUUUAGUAAGAUUUCAUUAAAAGAAGCAAUCAAACCACUUAUCAAUUGUCGCAGUCGUUCUAUAAACUAAAAUAGCAAUAUAAUACAAGAAAAAGAACAUAUAGAUACUUGGCAAGAGUUCAUUAAGAAGUCGCAUCACAUUCGGGUGAGGAGUUUGCUUCUGAUAUCUUGCUAGCUGGGGCUUUUUCUUGUCUUUCUACGUAUGCCGAGGGAAACCAACCAGCUUGGCCCUUGCAUUCACCUUCCGACCAUCCAAUAGGAGCCACCUUGAGAAGUUAUAACUAAAACGGUGAAUUAAACAAAAGUUGACCGUUCAAAGACCUAAGGGGAAAACUAAUUCUUUUACGUAGGAGGAGUGAAUUAGUUGUGAUCACUGAAAUAACAGCAUAACUAUGGAAGCAUAACAAGAUAUAAAUUCACACGUCUAUAAGGAUAAACUGGGUGGUUCAGAACUGAGCUAGCAACCCUACUAUAUUCUGAUUUGCACUUCAAUGUAAAAGGGAAUAUAUGGUAGGAAGAAAGAAAACCAACCAUCAUUUGUUAACUCAUUGCUUUUCAAUCAAAAUUUUAAGAACAAAAUGCCAUGUGCUUUGAACAUCAAAUAAGUAUAAGCAUUAGUUCUAAAUUCCACAUAUCAUAAGUUGUUAGAAGGAUAAGUUAAUAGCAGAGUAGAAAAAUCUAUGUGUUGGUAUUUAGAGGGGAAAGUACCUGGCGAAUCACAACAUAAUCAUCAAUUGAAAGACUUAGCUCUCCAUUUGCUUGAGCAUCAAAUGGAUGUAUAACCUGCAAGAUAAUGGGAUAAAUAGAACUUAAAAAAAGCAUAACAAAAGCAGCAACAGUAGCAGCAACGUUCAUUGUAACCACUAUGAUCAUGGCCAACAAAGAUAUAUUAGAAACAAAAUUCCAUUUUUACUACGACAUUAAUAUGUACUAUACAAAUUCUAAUAAGUUCUGUAUAACUUUAUGUAGUUAUUUAAAUUAUGGAUCAGAUUUUAAAUUUGAAAUUUUGACUGCUCUCCACAAAACAUGGCCUAUGCACAAGAAAGUCAUAGAUAAUGAGGAUUACAAGUGUCCGGCAUCUUUUGAGUGAUGGAUUUAACAUGAGAGCUUAUGGUCAGUCAAUUUCCUCUGCCUAGCAAUAUAAGCUUUCUCGGCCAGAUUUAUCAUCAAAUACAUAGAUUGCCCCCAAGUCACAUCCAUAUAAACAUAGUUUUUCUAGGUAAACCAAGUAAGGAGUAUCAUAAUUCAGACAUAAUCAUAAAAAGGCCCAUCUAAAUUAAGAGAAAAUCUCAAAAAGAGGGAUGCUGAGCUAUCAGUCUUGUAUCUAUAAGCAAUAUCAAGACUUUACAUCACCUGCUACAUCGUGAGUGGCUACACAACUUUCAGUGGUUUGUCUUUCUUUGGCACGCCUAACUCAGCUUUGAUGUUAGUGAGAUAUUGAUAGUAGAGACACAUGAUACUUCUAGCUCAUGCAUUCUAUCUAACCCAUCCAACAACUAUCUCUUUUUUAAUUCAUUAGUGUUUGCUAAACCUCAUGCUUAAAAGUCCUAUUCUCCUUAGCACCACAGUUGGACACUUGUAGAGCAAUUUUAUUUGGGGGAAAAGAAUUUUCAAGGUGUUAACUAAUAAAUUUUAAAAAAUAAUUACAAUUUGUCCUACGAUCAUAUGACAAUUUAUCUGGGAUGAAAGGAUACAGAUAGACAUCUUCCACUUUCAAGACUAAUCACUACUUCCAUAGAUGUUGUGCAAUAAUACAAAUACUUGACCAGAUGGUAGUGAUGGUAGAAAAAAAUUUUAUUGCUCCAAAAUUAAAAUAAGAAUGCAAUAUGUUAAGCAAAAGGCUGUGCAACAUCAAAUUAAUUGAUAAGUUUGUAAUUCAGUAAAUUAACAACUUUCGUGGUAAAAUACAACAAAUUUCUUUUGAAAAAAAUAAAAAAAAUAAAUCUUAAAAGACAGCAUUCAAUUUUGUGCGCAUCUUAUUUCUUAAGAUUUUUCAGGAGGAGGGCAAUAGAGGGACUUUCACCUAUGCAAGAGAGCAGAAGCCUUACUUUCCCUAUAAAGUAGACGUCAUUCUGAUUAAUAUGCGUUUGCAAAUCAGCUCCGUUUGAAUCAGUAUUCUGAUAGACACACGAGCCAUUUACAUCCAUUUCCAAAGUCACAUGUUGCGAGGAGGACUCAUUUGAUUGCUCCUAUACGAUCAUCUAAUUCAAGUAGCAAGGGUUGGAAGAGAAUAAAAAGUCACAAUUAUUCUUUUGCAUAAGUGAGACGAAAAUGAUAAAUGCAAUAUUAUCAGCAGUAAACAAGAAGAGAACGCUCCAAGAAAUAGAUAGAUGCAGACAAGCAAGUUAAAAUGCAUAGUCCCAAACCUCCGCAUACAACUUCUCUAAAAUAGCAAUAACGUGUUGAUGCUAUGUUUUCUCAGCAUCUACCUGCAAAGGCCCGAGACCAGGAAAACAACAAUAAAACCACUAGCUGAAGGAGAAAGCAAAGAAAGAAAUACACUUGACAUAAAUCUUGACAAGAAGCACAAUUUAAGACAUAACAAACCCCAAUCAUAUUGUUUAGAACUACCAUUCGUUAUUUCGUUAUUGUAACAUUUCGAACAAGUGUUGACUUAAUUCAACAUUGUUGGAAAGAUGGGCUUUUAGAAGCAGAAGAAAGCCUCUCAAACCAAAGUGCUUGUCCUUGUAUUGAUCAAGGGAUGUAAACAUAUUACAUUUGCAGGAUGAGAUUUAAUCACUCCCCUGAUUUAUUUGGGUUGCAGUAAAACUAAGCGAGCAACUGUUUGACUUCCAAGCAACAGCUAAAUCAGCUAUUAAAAUUCAAAUAAAAUCAUAAUAGAAUAAUAACAGGCCAUCUUGCAUCAAAAAUUAAGUUUAAUUUGUGAAUUGUUUUCUAUAGACAUGUCAGUUUCUGCUAUUGAAAUGUUAAAAGCAUUGAAAAAUUAUUCAAUAAAUUAUGCAAGCAUUAAAAUAGAGGACAUAUUAAAAAGUUUCUAAUUACAAUGUUAAUAUUUCCUAUAUUCUAGCAUUUGCAUAUUUUAAUUUAUUUAAAAGCUACGUCGAUCAACUUUGGGCAUGAAGAUUUUAGCUUCUACGAGACUUGCUUGGAAUAUGCACAAGAGUGUUAAAAUAUGAUGCAUCCAACGAAAGACAAACCACGUGUAGUCUUUUAAUUAAGCCAAAGUAGCAGCUCAAACAAAUGACACUUGGACCAACAUGCAAUCAUGAAGUGGCCGGAAAAAGGACAAAUGCUACUUUGGCUUAAAUAAAAAAUAACAUGUGACUUGACUUUUGCUGGACAUGCAUCAUGUUAUUACAAGACAACAGAAAUCAGUAUGAUAGUACUAAAAGUUGACAAUAACAUGAAGAUAAGAGGCAGACUGUCAACACAUGCAUAGGCACACACAAGAAAGUAUUAACUUCUAUACCAUAGCAAAAAGUCUUUGAUAUGUCAUCUGUUGCUGCUGUGAUUCAACUGACAGCAUGGCAGCUGUUGCUUCUCUACCAAGAGCCAUUAUUGUAGAUUUAAGCUCCGUCUAUCUUGCUUCUGCAUUUCGAAGCUUCACAGCACUCUCUGCUGAUAUAUCAGAUUCCCUAAUCUUUGAUCGGCGCCUAAAUACUUCAGCUGCCUGGUGAAAAUAUUCAAUAUAAAUCUAACAUAAUUCUAAUCUUGCCUUAUACAUGCAUAUGUUACCUCAAAGCUUACCUGGGCUUCAACUUCAUGUCGAAGUUUGUCAUAACGAUGAGUCAGGUGUCGAGCAUCUUCCAAAGGUGUUCCGUUGAUUAACGCCCGUAGUGGCUCAGGUACCUACAUGUCCAAAAACCUGUAACAUAGUUAGAAAAAUGAAAAGAAAGAGCGAAACCUCAAUUAAAAAGUUCCUCCAACAUAAUCAUGGAAUUUGGGCCUACUUCAAGGAUAUAUAUAAGGAUAAUUUAUGCAAUUUUGGGUCUGAGGAUGAUUCAUAUUAGGUUAGUGUUCUUCUCUUCUGUAUUUAAGGUUAAAAUAGAAAUAAACCUAUGAAAAUAUCUAAAUUAGGGCUGUAAGACUUCCACAUGCAUCCUUCAGUCUCAUGGAUUUGAUUUUACUAUAGAUGCAAGUGUCUUUAAAGAAAAUGCUUGGAGUCAAUUGAGAGAACUCACGGCCAAAAACUUGUCACACGCUAGUCUUUGCUAGUGAUGUAAGAAGUCACAGGGUCUCUUCAACAUUUGAACCAAUAAAAUUAUUAAGUCAUGGAUGUCACUAGCAAUGAUUUUAAUAUAAAACAUUAAAUAUUUCAGAGUUGUAACUUUAAAAUGGAUUCUUUUAUUCAAUAUCAUAGAACUAAGUUUCCUUAUGAGAAGAUAAUAGUUUCGAUAAUAAUUUUACAUAUAAUUUUCUAUAUUUGAAUUAUUUUCUAGUUAGGGAUGAACUAACCUGAUCACGAAGAAUCCCGAGCAAAGUUUCCCUCUCAUUUUCCAUCAAAUCAUGUGAAGUGCCAAAUUGAAGAGCAGCUCUUGCAACGCAAGAAUUGUCACUUUGAUUCUCUGCUCCAUACUUGCAACAAUCUUCAGCCAACUUUCUCGCUACAAUAUUUGAAUACAAAAAUAUUGUACACAAGAACUAUAAAAAACUAAUGAAAAAUGCCAAGAUGGAGCAGAUGCUUCAAUACUGCCCGUACAAACCAUAAAAAACUAAUGAAAAAUAAAUAAAAUCAAGAAAUUUUACUAAUUAAAAGUCUAAAUAUAAUUUUGAAAAAAGAAAAGAAACGGACUUGCUGCUGCUUGGCGACUUGUUCUCGGAGCUUGAUUGCUUGUUUCUUGAUAGCUUCCAUACUGUUUCUUUCAAAAAGCGACGACGGCUCAGCUCAUGGAAGUGGAAAAAAAAAGUGUGAUCGAGAAAAAUGAAAAGGCGUGAAUAAUUUUUGACAAAAAGCGAAAAUCAAGGAAAGCCGGCUCUUUCCAGAAAAUAAAAAAAGAAAAAAGAAAAUCAUAAGUUUGAAAGGAGAAGAUGAUAGUGGAAGUAUGCAGUGUGGCUGCCAGGUACUUGGAUUGUAUUGUCGGGUAAGGUAAAAGUGGAGAAUUAUAAGUUUGAACAGAGCAUGUUGGACUUUUGUUGACCAAAUUCAAAAGCCCAAUGGGACGGUCCAGAAGCUUUUGAAUAGAAAAACUUGCUAGAAAGCAUCAGUUUAAAUCACUACUUAAACGCUUGCUUUAACUGCACCGCUUUGUACUGUUUUAUGUAUGUAGCGGUUGUGCGGUUGUAAUUCACGGCUGACGCUACGUGUUUGUUUGUACUGUUCUAUUCGGUGACAGAGUAUUAUUAGUUAGGCCAAAACUAUGUUGCAACAGUGGUACAAUAGCACUGUUGUUUUCAGUCAUUAGAUCUAUAGUUGUACAGUUGCAUUAACAAGAUCCAAUGGUUGAAAACAACAGUGGUACCGAACUACUGUUGCAACAUAGCUGGACCCUAUUAGUUAUUUCAAAGGGAUAAAUAAGAUUGGUUACAACAAACCUACUAAUUUUAUAAAAUUCAAGUAAUAUAGAAUAAAAUAAAAAAAUAAAUACAAAAUUGACUUUUAUUUUUUAUGGUUGACUAUAUUUUGUGUUCUCUUCGGGCACUGCUACAAUUCUUCCCUAUAUAUCAAUUACACCACAUACUAUCGACACAAGAAAUGAAAUCUAAUAUCACCUAUUUAGUUAAAAAAUCACUCAUGAAAAAAUUUUACCAUUUUGAUUUGAGGAUCCAUAUUUUGAACUACAAGCUAAUGUUCAUCAAGAAUCACUGAUGGCCGUUGAGUAGAAAAAUUAUUUUUGGACAAAUUAUUUUUGUUGAUAGAAGAAUUUCUUUAGGGACUACUAAAUUAUUAAUAAAAAUAUCGAACACACCCAAAUAUCAUCGACACAAUUGAUUUUGAGGAUCCAUGCUUUGAACUGCCGCCUAAUGUUCAUCAAGAAUAGAGUAUGGCUUGUGAGUAUAAAAUUUUCUUAUUUUGGCCCGAAAUAAAAAAAAAUUAAAUUGGAUGAGAAUCUGCCACUUUCUCAUGAAGAAAGGCAUACGGAGCAUACCAUGGUACCAUACAAUAUAAGGAGCCUCCGUUCUUUGGUUUUUCAAACUCUGAAGGGGCCAAUAUUGCCAAAUUCCCCCUUGAAAAUUCUGAUUACGACAUUAUUCAUCGCUUGAUGCAAUCAAAGUAGUGACAAAGUAAUUGCUAGGCAAGGUUGCUGAGAGCAAAAUUGUCCUAAGCAUUAUAUGCAUACAUGGUGCGGUACAUAGAGCACGUUGAAUUCCCCACUAUAACACAAAUCCAGAAAGACAAGUAAUAACUCAACUGAUAUAAAGACAAAAAGAAGAUAAAAUGAUAUAGAACAAAGAAUUUCAAAGAGACAGCAACAUACGAUAGACUGAAGCCACUUGAUCUGCUCAUUGAUUGCAGCCUUAAACUUGCAAAUAGUUACUGUACGCUAGUGCUCUAAGAAGUGAAAAUGAUGCAAGCCCUGAUUCCCUUUUGACUUCCAUUUACUGUCAAACAUUCUAGUAAUACAAAAAAUUGUUUAGAUAUCUUGCUAUAAAUAUAGCCGUUUGACUGUCAUAAUAAAGUCACAAAUAACCAUUCAUAUUGAUCUACUAUCACACAGCAUGCUUUAUGCAUACAACAGCUGUAUGUAUACCAACUCCUAACCUUAUCAACACAUUUGGCAAAAACUUAGGAAGAAAACUAUUUCUCCAUCUCUUUUUUGAAAUUUCACAAUAACCAGCACAAUGUGAAAGCUAUGUUCUAACCUUAUGAUAAAUGCUCCAGACUCCAAAAGGAUUUUAUAUAUGAGAGUUUGUUGCAGCAGAUAUAUUGACUUAUCAAGUAUGAAUCAUUGUCUGGAUGAACUAUCUUUAGAUAAAAGAAUAUUAGAACCACUGUAGAAUAUCUUUACGCUGCUGGUUCUAACAGGAAUCUGCAUGUGGCAACAAUUGCUAGAUCCACAACUCCCCAACUUGAAAUACAUAGUUGCACACCAUGAGAUAGUGCUACAAUCUACUGAGAUCUAACUUAUAUGGUACUUUAAGCUACUAAUGUUUGCAUAUUUCUACAUGUUAAAUUAACACUAUUAUCUAUAAUCACUCCAAAACAACAAAUGAUAAGCAACUUUUGGCCACUUAUUACUAGCAUCCACAAUUAUAAAUAAGAGAUCAUGGGUUUACUUGUUGCACCUACUUAAUUAUCUGCAGUUGACAUCCUGACGCAAGGUUUAAAUAGUGACUGCUUAGAACCCUUGUAGUUGGAUCUUGACCUCUCCCAUUGUAGCCAAGAUUGGUUACUCUGGUAAUGAAUCAACACUCUCCUGCUCAGGGCCAUGAAGAUCUGAAAGCUCAGCACUAGUGGAGAACUUCAUCAAUCUCUUCUUCUCAGCAUACUUGAGACAAGGCUGCCUUACGAGACCAAUCACCAUAGCACCAACGCUUAAAACUGCAACUUUUAAAGAAGAAAGAGCCAACACAACACAACACAACACAAAUCAAUAUGGUUGGAGGAAUACACAUGAUAAUGGCUCCAACAGUGACAGUGGGUAUCUUGUAGGGACGAGAUGCAGCAGGAUAUUGCAUCCUUAACCAUACAAAUGCUAUGAACUCCAUAAUCAUUCCAAAACAGUACAGGAAGUUCUCUGCAGCUACAAUAUCUCAAAAGCUCAGCCAUGAUAGCAAAACCACACCGGAUGCUGAGAAUAUGAUUCCAAUCAAAGGAGUCCCAUAACAAGACCUCUUAGCAAAAAACUCAGGUAGCGUUCCACGCUCAGCCAUCCCCAAAAGUUGGAAAGAGUCGCUGCUCAUCUCAGCCACAAACAUGCCCAUAUUGGACAUUGCUGCAGCCCCCUGGAUGCACCAUCUCAACCAAACUCCUCCAAGCACUUUAGCGAUAUCUGAAAAGUAACCAUCGGUCCACAAGUCGCGAUCUAAUGGAAUAGCUCCAGUUCCAACUAGAAGGGGAAAGAAAUAUCCAAAAACGACCAAGAUCAAAGCAUAAAACAAAGCCUUUGGAAGAGUCUUCUUUGGGUUAUCCACCUCUCCAGCUAGUUUACUUAUUGAGUCCCAGUAGUUGGAGAUUCCAAAACAGGGUGUUCAAAUACAAAUUCCAGUCCACUUCACCUAAAUUUACUACAAGCCAUCUUGAAGGCUCUAACUUGGGAAGGGACACAAGUCCCAUAACCACAAAAGGAAGGAAUGAGAAAAUCUCUAAAAGAACAGCAGCCCAUCCCACAAUGGUUAGACCCCUAUAGUUCAUGAAAGUGAGAACAAAAGUCAAAGCUAACGCCGCAAAGGCUCUAGGUAACCCAUCGCCCAAAGCAGGGAUAUACCAGACUUCAAGUAGUCAAGAAACAGAACUGGGUAUAAAGCAUUAUCAAUAACCCCACUUAGCCAUUUCAUCCAAACUUGCUGAAAACCCCAAUAUGGGCCUAAGGCAGAUGAAACCCAAACCACAUAACCACAAUUUUCAGGAAACACGGUACCCAUCUCGGCAGUAAUUAAAGCUUCAGGGACACUCCAUAUAAUCGGAAACACCAAGAAACCAAGAAGUGCUAAAAGAGGACCAGCUGCCUUUACACUAUCCUCAACACCAAACGCCCCCCCAGAAACCUCAUAGAAUAUAAGGAAAAUAAGUGGCAAGAUUGAUACUUUUUUAGCGCCAUGGACUCUAGGAGAAGAUGGUUGGUCAUUGAUAUUAACAUAUUCAACAGCAUCAGACUGCCCCAUUUCUACUGAAAGUUGCCUAUUCACAGUGUUCCUCAAUUUCUGCAUCAAGUUUAAGCAUAACUAUCAAAAGGGUAUCGGCAUCUAAAUUAUGAAACAAAAUGAGCAUUUACUUAUUAAAAAAAUUCAAAAAAACAGAAAUGGAUUUCACAGAACACAUGAAUUUAAGUUCAACAUUAAACAGGCGCUUAAGAAAACAAAAGGGUCUGGUCGUAAAGCCAUCAGAUUGCAAGAUUGAACAACAUUAACGGAAUCAAUAGAAUCGAUGUAAAGAGAUCUGAAAAGAAAAUAAAAUAAAAGAUGAAGAGGGAUAAAACGACCCAUCAAAUAAGUGCAUGCAGAGCAGAGAGGCAGAUACUAGAGAAGCUCCGUCAUGUUAGAGAGAGCCUAAAUCAAUCAGAGCUCACUGAGUUUCUUUUCAACUGACCGGCAGAUUUGGAGUAGCAUAACAUAAUAUUUUUGCUUUUAAUUUUCGGAACACUUUUGAAUGGAAUUUUUUGUUUUUCAAAACUAACGAAAUCGUAAAAAUAAAUAAACACGUGUUUGGUUUUGGGCUUCUUCUUUUGUUCAUUUAAUAUCAUUUGGUUCCCUGAUUUUUGACUAAUUAUCAACGGUAUCCUGUUAGUUUCCAAAUUGAAAUAAUAUUAGGUCAUGAGAUUAUUUACUCCAUUUAGCAAUGUAGACUUAAUAGUGUAUUGAAAAAGCUUUGUCAAAUAGUAGUAAUAGGGGCAUAAGAAAUAAGUUCUUCAGAAUUUAGAUAAUAUACUUGGCUCUAGGAAGAUUCCCCUCUUAUCACUCAAGUUAGGCUUUUACCUUAGAGUUGAGUAAAUUAUUAAAAUAAAUUAUAGCUAUCACAAAUUCGUCAGGAGACUUUCAAUUUUUUUCCAUCAAAUGGCAAUGAGGCAAAAUUACCUCAACUUAUAUUUCAAAACUAAUACUUCAAAUUCUGACAAUAAAUUUGAUGACAGUCAAUUUUAUGUAUAGUAAUUUUGACUCUUUUGUUUGGUCUAAAAGUAAUUAUUUAAAAUGACAAUAUAACUUAUUUAGAAGAAAUGGUAAACUUAUAGUUCGUAAUAUUAUUUACACAAAUAAUAAAGACUAAUUUGAUAAUAAUCUUUCAAAUAAUAAUGAAGUGUUAAUUACUAUUUAACAUUUUUGAUUAAUUUCUAAAUUUAAAACAAAUAUGAAAGUUGAUUGCUUUGAAGGUUGGAUCGUGACAAAUUGACAAAUGAAAAGAGAAGUAGAGAAUAUAUAUUCUGAUGAAAGGGACAAGAUUCAGCAAGGGGACAAUAUUCUCUAUUGGACCGACAAAUGGGGGAAAAGAAUAUAUAUAUAUAUAUAAUUUCUUAUUUGUGGAUUGGCCAACACGUGUAACAAAUAUGAAAAGAUAAAAUUUGGCGUGGUUUUAACCGAUAUAAGACAAGAAGAACAAAGCAAAGCCCAUGAAAAUUCACCUUUCAUGUGGGUUGGAUCGGAUAAAAUCAAUAUCUUGAAUCAAACAAAAUGUUUGGUACAUAAAGUUUUUUUUUUUUACAUGAUAUUAGAUUUUUAUCCCUCGAAUUUUUACAUGAUAUUAGAUUUUUAACCCUCACUAAUAUUCGAGAGAUAUCUACUCCUCAUUUUUGGGUAAGGGAGAAGACUACCUUCACUCAAUUAUAAUUAAGGAAUGAAAUACCCCCACAUUACACUUGUAGGGGUUCAAACUGUUGCCCUCCAACUUGGAGUGCAGCAGCGCUGACCACUCGGCCAAAGUCCGAGUGGCUGGUACAUGAAGGUUUUGAGUGUGUGUAAUGAGCCAAAAUUUACAUAAGGAUAUUUUAGUAAAUAUAAGAAAAAAAGGCUCAGGGAAUGGCCUAUAGAUAGAAGCACGCAGCCCAUGAGUGAUGAGAAUACAAUUUAACUGUUCAAACUAAUUAGAAGCAAAUUCUUUCAUAUCUUUCUUUAAUUUUUCCGCUUAGUUCCUUAGCAUCCAAUCAAGUUCAAGUUAAAACACUGUUGAGACAACAAUAUGCAGGCAUCAAUAAGCAUAGUAGUUUUUUAUAUGUAUUCUAUACGACAAUUAUAGAACUUUUUGCAGCAACUUUUUUUCAUUAACUAAUGUUUGAAGAACUUGUUAAAAAAAAUGGUAAAUUUAUAAUUUUGAAAAAAAAGAAAGAAAGUGACGUUACCUCAUCGUCAUUAGAGACUUGUUGCAAUGAUAGCUCAAAAUUAAAAUUUUUGAAGAAUUAGUAGACGACGAUGAUGUAAUAUUUAUACAGUCACCAACAUGUUGAUUUUUGUUUAAUGUUUGAUCGAUAGAAACGCUUGUCGUCGUCGCUGUUGUUGAAUUCAUACAUAGAACACAGAAGAGAAGGAGGGAGGAAAGGGAAGAGAAGAAGAGAGAAGUGGCAUAUAGCAAAUAUGAUAUGCUAGCUGCAUACCAGCCUUAGAGAGAUUUUUUUUAAUAUUUAUUAUAUUUUUGUUUUUGUUAUUGGUUUGUCAUAUGCUUCCAGGGAAGCAAUACGUUACAUCAUAAAUUGCACCUUUUAGGGGAGGUGGUAAAAAACGUGAGAGCACUACGCUCCAGCGCAUACAUAUAGAAAGAGUUUUCGAAUUUUAAAAAGUUUCUUUAUUUCUUCCAUGUUUUUGUGCUUAAAAUAAAAUUUAAUUGUAUUUUGCAUUAACUUAGAAAAGAAAAGCCAGUUCUAUAUAUAAACUCAUGCAUUAAUUAGAAGAGUUGAACUAUUGGCACCCCUCUAUAAUCUUUAUAAAAUUCCUCUCCUAUUGUAAUUACAUUAAAGGACAAAAUAAAUCUAAUUAUAUCAUUAUAUUUCUCUUUUCAACUCUUUACACCCGUGCAACUACACCAAAGUCUUUUACAAUUUUUGUUUCCUCACAAACAACUUUUUCUUGAGAGAUUUACAAAACUUAUUUUUAAUUUUAAAAAAUAAAUAAUAGUUAUUUGAGUCCACUUUAAUUUACAAAACUUUCUAAUAAUAAGUUUUGUAGACUUAUUUUUCAUUUACAAAACUUUCUGAACUUAUUUUUAUUUUUAAAAAAUAAAUAAUAGCUAUUUGAGUCCACUUUAAUUCUACUUAAUUCAUACAUGUAUUUGAUUUUUUUGAGUAAAAUAUGUAUGAUUUAAUAAUUCAAAAAUUUAUAAAAACAAUAUUUGUAAUUGGAGUUAUUUGGAAGAAACUGAAUUGUUUUUCUUUUUGAAUAAAAAAAAGCUGAAAAAAGAAAAAGGAUAUUUUAGGAAUUAAAAUAGAUUUUGAUAGAAAAGGGGUUUGAACAGAAAAUUACAGGGUGCUAAUAGUCCCACUCUAAUUAAAAAAUGAGUUCAUGUGGAUGCAAAUGUACAAUAAAAGAGAUUCUCUUUUGUAUAUUGGAAGUAACAUAACUAGUGAGUAUAAUAUGUAAAUACAAGUUACCAAGAAUUUGCACUAGUGCUAAUUAAUGGCACAACUUUUGAGCUAUGAAUUUCUUCUUGAUAGUUUAAUUAUAUUUUUGAGUUUUCGGUAAACCUAUUUUAAUAAUUAUUAAAUUAUUUUCACUUCUUACGCCUUAAUAAAAAAAAAUCAAUAUUUUCUGGUCUAUUCUAUAUUUUGAAACUUAAUUUUUAAUUCUUUAUAUUGCAAACCAAACUAAGUCAAACAGAGUAUGCUCUUCAAAGAAUUUUUCCAUUGGCCAUUGCCUUCAAGAAGAUUUUAUUUUAUUUUUAUAUAUUAAUUUAACAUUUUUCCGUGCACUUGUAAACCGGGCCGUCGGAUUCCACAUAAAGCAAAUGAUCAAACCGUUACAAGACCGACCCGGACCCACUGACUCUCAUUUUCUUUCAUUUGACCAUUAAAAGCUUUUGACCACCCCCGCCAAAUAAAUAAAUAAGCUCUUGUUCUCUUUUGUUCCUUCUUAAAGGAAAAUAUAUCUGAUCACCAGAUAAUGAUUCCGGUGUCACAAAAUAUCAAGACAACCCCUAAAUUCCCUUAAAUUUACGAUAACACCCCACCAUGGAUGAUUCCGUUGAAAUGCCGCCUUACGAUGAAAGGCCUUAGAAGGGUUUUAACUUCACACCCAUGCGCUUGAUCUUAACCCUCAUUUUCCCAAUUUUAACUUUCUUUUCGUUGGCAUUUUUGAUCGAGAUCGUUACUGUUUUAUUCGGCGAAUCAUCAGUUUCGAGUUCCAUUUUUGUCCCUUCCCAGUGCAAGAUAGUGCCAGCAGUAAGCUUUUUUAAAAUUUUCAAUUUUUUUCCAUUUAUGAAGCUCAAAAAUUUUAUUAAUUUUUGAAUUUUUUUUGAAUGAUUUUGCAGGUGUUGAUAUAAGGUCAUCAAAGGUUUGUGAACUUGGAGUGUUGAAUUAUAAGGCGAAGCGUGUGUUUUAUCCAUUUGAAGCAAGUAAAUUUCGCCGUCGAUAUGAUUACUAUUGGGCUUCUAUCUUCAAGGUAUUCAUACAUUUUCUCAACUUUAAUUACUUACCUGUACUAUUAGCUUCUUAGUGGCGGUCUUGUUUUGUGUUUUUGAUGAAUGUGUUUAAGGGUCAGUUUGGGAAUGCUGGUAAUAGGAUGUUGUUAGUGUUUGGCAGUAAAUUUGCUAUGCAUAAUUCAGCAAUGUGCUUGAUUUUGGUUAUUGUCUUUAACAAUUUUUAGGUAGAGUACUUAGAUCAUUCACUGGGACAAACGCAGAGCUUGGUUGACCAAAGAUAAGUUCCAGGCUGGGGUCGGCAAUGCAGAGCUUCUGCGUGUAUUAAAAUUUGAAGCCUAGUAAAUGAAUUUCUAAUUUAUUUAUAGUGUUUGUUUUAUCUUGAUAGAAAUGAAUGCUAACUCAAGAUUUUCCCAACUUUGAUUACUUACCUGUACUAUAAGCUUCUUAGUGGCGGUCUUGUGAGCGGUGUGGCUGACAGCUUCUUGAAAAUUAUAAGUUUGAACAGAGCAUGCUAGACUUUUGUUGACCAAAUUCGAAAGCCAAAUGGCACAGCUCAGAACCUUUUGAAUUGAAUAACUUACUAGAAAGCUCCAAUUUUUUGUUGGCUACGGUAAAAGGAUGUUGUUUUAUUCUUCUUAUACUUUACGCUUGCAUCAGCUUAAAUCACUUCUUAAACGCUUUGCUUUAACUCCACCGCUUCAUACUGUUCUAUAUAUGUAUCGGGUAUGCGGUUGUAGUUCACUGCUGAGACUACGUGUUUGUUUGACGUGGUAAUUACGUUACGAGUCUGUUAAACAUUCGGUGAUUAAAGUAUUAUCAGUUAUUUCGAGGGGACAAAAAAGAUUAGUUACAACACACCCACUAGUUUUAUAAAAUUUGAAUAAGAUGGAAUAAAAUAAAAAAAUAAAUAAGUAAAUUGACUUUUAAUUUAGUGGUUGAAUAUAUUUUGUAUUCUCUCGGGGUACUGCUGUAAUUGUUCCUUAAAUGUCAGUCACACCCACAUGUUACAGACACAAGAAAUGGAAUCUAAGAUCACCUGUUUAAUUAAAGAAUCACUCAUGAAAAAAUUUUGCCAUUUUGAUUUGAGGAUCCACAUUUUGAACAACCAACUUAUCUUCAUCAAGAACAGAUCAUGGCCUGUGAGUAGAAAGAUUAUUUUUGGACAAAUUAUUUUUGUUAAUAGAAGAAUUUCUCAAGGGACUAUUAAAAUUACUAAUAAAAAUGUCAGACACACCCACGUACCAUCGACACAAUUGACUAUGAGGAUCCAUGUUUUGAACUGCCACUUAAUGUUCAUUAAGAACAGAGUAUGGCUUGUGAGAAGAAAAUUUUCUGAUUUUGGCCUGGAACAAAAAAAAAUUAAAUUGAAGGAGAAUCUGGUACUUUCUCAUUAAGAAAGGCAGACGGGGCAUACUAUGGUACCAUAAAAUACGAAAAGUCUCCAUUCUCUAGCUUUUUAAACUCUGAAGGGGGCAAUAUUCCCCAAUUACCCCGUGAAAAUUCUGAUUACGACAUUACUCAUCGGUUGAUACAUAAGUACAAGUACUGACAAAAUUAGGAAAAAUAUGACUCAUAAGUAAUUACUAGGCAGGGCUCUUGAGAGCAACAUUAUACUAGGCUUUAUAUGCAUACAUGGUGUGGUACAUAGAGCACGUUGAAUUCCACACUAUAACACAAACCCAGAAAGACAAGUAAUAUCUCAACUGAUAUAAAGACAAAAAGAAAAUAAAAUGAUAUAGAAAAAAGAAUUUCUAAGAGACAGCAACAUACAAUAGACUGAAGCCAGUUGAUCUGCUCAUUGAUUGCAGCCUUAAACUUGCAAAUGUUUACUGUAGCCUGGUGCUCUAAGAAGUGAAAAUGAUGCAAACCUUGAUUCCCUGUUUACUUCCAUUUACCAUCAAACAUUCUAUUCAUAAGAAAAAAAAUCUUUAGAUAUCUUGCCGUAAAUAUAGCCAUUUGAUUGUCUUAAUAAAGCCACACACAACCAUUCAUAUUGAUCCACAUUGCCACAUAGCCUGAUUUAAGCAUACAACAGCUGAAUGUAUACUGACUCCUAACCUUAUCAAUACAUUGGCGACAACUUAAGAAAAAAACUAUUUCUCCAUCUCUUUUUUGAAAUUUCACAAUAAAACAGCACAAUGUAAGAGCUGGAAUGAAAAUGGACCGUUUGGAACUAUGGCGGAAGCUUCAACUAGUGUAGUGAGUUGACCUUCUUAUUAACCUAGCGAGAUCAAACACUGCCCUUGAUCUUGAACAUAUCAAUACGAUACGCACAACUUAUGAUUGAAUCCAGAAACAAUCAAAUCUUUAGCAAGAAUAAUUAAUCAGAAUCAAGAAACAAGUUUAAUGAAUAUAAACCUAUAAUUGGAACAAACACAGCCAAAGAACCCAAGAAUGACACAACGAACACCAAGGGAGAAGCUUUCCAGUGAGAUUAUAUUAAUGAUCAAAGAAGAAUCUUUUUACAAAGAUAACAAAAGAGAUUUCAGAGAAUAAGCUAUGACCCUCUCUCUCUUCAAUCUCUGUCUAGUUUGUUAACAGUGAUGACCCCAAUCUGCUUCGUUAGCCAGCUUCAUAACUGCGUCAGUGACAAACUAGCAAACCCAGAUUGAGCAGACUAACGACACGUGCAUAACGGCUUUAACGAACUUGGUUAAAGAACUGCUCACAUGUUCGUCACGCGUGUUGCUUAAAUGAUAGCCAAAACGACUUCAACCAAAUGCCGUUUUGAAGCUUAUGAAUUAUAAGUGAAAACACGUGCUUGUCUCGUGACAUUUAAAUGCAACAACAAGCCCAAAACACUGCCGGUUCACUAUGUUGAGUUUGCCAUCUCUAAGCUUCACAACUAGCAGCGGACAAGAUGAUAAUUUAAUUGACAUGGAGAGCUUUUAUAUCACUUUUACAACAUUCUAUAUAAUUGUGAUAUUGGGAAUCGUCGGUGUUGUAUAUGUGAACCCUCGUUGGCGACACUGGUGGUUUUAUCUUUAUUGAAAUAUGGAUGACUUUUCGUUACUAUUUUGUUGUACAUAACAUUAUUCUCAGGAGAUUUAAUCAUUGAAAUUAACAUGUUAGUUUCAUUAGAAGGCUGAGUGGUUAGGGCUGCUACCCUCCAACUUGGAGGGCAAUAGUUUGAACCCACAAGCGCAGUGUGGGGGUAUUUCAUUCUUUAAUUACAUUGUAUAAUUGAAUAAAGAUAAUAUUCUCUCUUACCCAAGUGUGAGUGGAGUAGACAUCCUUCGAAUAUUAGCGAGGGUUAAAACUUGGGCAGAGCUCAAUAAGUAUUGAUGUAAGUUGGUCCUAAUAAUAGUCUGAUUUGUAAAUAUCAGUUAUAGUCUCAUGUUUCCUUCCUUAAUUAUAUUGUAUAAUUAAGUAAAUGUACUCUUUUCUCUUACCCAAGUGUGAGUGGAGUAAACAUCCCUCGAAUAUUAGUGAGGGUUAAAAUCUGGGUAGAGCUCCAUAAGUAUUGAUGUAAUUUGAUCCUAAUAAUAGUAUGAUUUGUAAAUAUCAGUUAUAUUAUCAUGUAAUAUGAGUUGUAAUUUGAGUAAUAAUUUCAUGUAAUUACAAAAAAAAUGUUACUUUCAUUACUUUUUUCUUCGUUAAAAUUCUCAAGUAUCAAUUAUGUUUGCUUAAGAAAUAAAAUUUCGUUAUGAAAAUUGUAGCAGUAUUUCCGAGCACCUCACAUUUUCAAUGAUUUUUCAUAAAUCAAUUAAUCUGCCAUACCAAUAUCAGGUUUAGUUUUUCAGACUAAAUGAUCAAGAAAGCAAACAUACAAAUUCACAUUUUAGAGGGGUAAACUAGCUUUUAGAUUUUAGAACUAGGCUAGCUACCUCACCAAAUUCCAAUCUGUACAGUGAACUACAAGAUUAAGAAAAUAAUGUAUUUAUAGUUUAAUUGAAUCAUGAGAAAACAAUGUAGUCAUAGCUCAAUCGGACAUGAUCACGGAGAGGCAUAUUCUUUUCAAGUUAAUUUGAUCCAUUUAUAAGAAAUGAAGUGGAUUGAAGUUAAAAGUUCAAAUAACAAAUCCUUGUUCUUGAGUUUUACGACGUCGUUACUCCUUCAAGAGGCUGAUUAUGCAAGUGAAUGCGGAAACAGAAUGCAUUAUCCACGGGGAUGAUAAAUCAAAAGGCGGGAUCAUAGUCUAUGCCCGCAGAUUAACAAUUUCACUCAUAUAGAAAAUUAAUUUUUUUAUAUAUACUAAUCAACACUAGAUUGAUUAUGUUUUGUAUGUUUAUAUGCUAAUCAACAAUAAAUUAUAUUAAAUGAAGAAAUGCUUCAAAUUUUUCUAAUUUAAUUUAGAAAAUCAAUUAUUAACAUUAAUAUUCCUAAUAAAAAUUAUUUUCCAUCGGUAUUCAAAAUUUUCACUUAUAGAAAAUGUGUUUUACGUGAAUACAAGUUAUUGUGUAAAUUUGAAUGAUAGCGAAAAAUAAUUUUUUUAAUUAUUGUAAAAAUAAUUAACCAUAACAAAUCCCUUGUGUAAAUAAUAAUCAUUAUUUAAAAGGUAGAAAGAUGGUUAGUGCACAAUCAAAUUUUAAGCCCCUACCUCCUCGGCCCAAGAUUCAAACUUAGAUGAUCAGCCAAAUAAAAUUAUUUGAAAAUCAUUCAAUCAGGUUCUCGGGGAAAAAAUACAAGAUCCGUAUUUGCAUGAUAUAUAUGAAUUAAUGUAAUUUAUUUGAAUUAUCCAAAUUCAUUAGAGAUAAAACUAUAAAAGAUACCAAAAAAGUUAGAAGGAAGGGUGUGCUGGGAUAUUUUACAAACUAUAGGAAUCUGGUGAGAUUUUGAGCCAAACUGUAGGGAGUUGAAGGCAUUUGCCCAAUAUGUUUAGACGUACACUAACCGUUAUUUGAUCUUGUUGUUGGUCAUGUGAACUAAGAUGUAAAUUAAAGAAAAAGUAUAAAAUUAAAAAAAGAUAAGAUUUCUAAAAUGUGUGGAAGGUGAUUCAUGAUUCACUAAAAUUACUUGCCCCACAUAUAAAGGUAAACAUGUCUAAUUUCAUUAAAAAUAGGUGGAAAAAAUUAACUAAUAGAAAGCUACGGAAAUUAACCCCCACAAAAAUGACUUUUUAUAGAAGAAUUUAUGUUUUUUAAAAUAUGUUAUCAAAGUGUAUUUGAUCAAAUCUCAAUUGCUUAGUAUGGUUAGGAUUUUGUGAACAUAACUAAAAAGUGAAAAAUAUGAAUGAUAGGGGUGAUGCUUGCAAUAUGAAUAAAUAAUGGACUGAUUCAAUUGAUGAUUAAAUUUAUAUAUUAUUGAUUAUUUAUGAAUUUUCAGACUUGUUAUGAUGUAUAACUAUGUGAUUUUGAAACUUGAAACCGUGGCAAACAUUGAAAGGAAUUAUAACUUGAAAUCAUGACUCACGGGGUAUGUCAUGAUUCACGUGCACAAAAAAGGUAGAAUUGUGGAAAUUUACAACCCAACGACAAGUACGGAAAGAAAGGAAGAAAAUUAAAAGACUUCGGGCCUAGCCUGCGUGUAUUAAUUAUUAGAUUACUUUUUUUUAUAAGGGUAAUCAUCAAUUUACUCCAUAACAAUCUUUAAUUCAUUUCUUAAAAAUAUCAAAACUUUAAUUUAUCUUUUAAACAUCGUUACCUCUCUAUUGGUUUUAACAGUUCAAAGGGUAAAAUUAUAUUUGCAUAUUUUCUUGACCGCCAACUAAAUGAUAAAACUCAAAAUUCAAUCUUGUUAUCUUGUUUCAAUCCUCUAUCAAUCAAAUAAGAUUUCUAAAAUAUGUGGAAGAUAUUGCAUGAUUUCCUCAACCUACCUGGCCCGAACAUCAAGGUAAAUAUCUCUAAAAUAGUUGAUUAAAUCUCAGUUGCUAAGUAUAGUUAGGAUUGUGUGAACAUCACUGAAAACUAUGAUUGAUAGAAGUGAUCUUUGCAAUAUGAAUAAAUAAUUAACUGAAUCAAUUGAUUUAUAUAUUAAAGUUUAUGAAUUUUCGGGCUUGUUGCGAUAUAAUAAUAGCAUAUGAUUUUGAAACUUGAAACAGUGGUAAAUAUUGAAAGGAAUUAAUUUGAAAGCAUGAUCCGUGGGGAAUGUGAUGAAUCGUGUUUACAAAAAAGGUAGAAUUGUGGAAAUUUAUAACAGAACGAUAAAUAUGGUAAAAAGGAAGAAAAUUGAAAGACUUGGGGCCUGGCCUGGGUGUAUUUUCUAACUAUCCAAUGGACAAAAUUAUAUUUCUAUACUUUCUCUUACCUAAGUUUCAUAGAAUAGCUCAUUUCAUUUUUAUUUUUUAAAUAAUAGCCCAAAAUAUCAUUAUGUUAACUCAUUAUUAGUUGAAUGGCGUUUGUUAGUAAUUCAUUAAGGGUAAAAAAUGAUUUUCUAUCAAAGAGAAAAUUAGAAAAAUAAAUAAAAAUUGAUAUAUAACUAAAAAUUAUUUUAUCUAAUCCCACUAAAUAAGAAAUGCCAAAAAAGAUGAAAAAAUUAUAUUUCAAGCAAUUCUUUUUUCACUUAUUUCUAUUUUGGCAACAUGAAAGCCCUAUAAACCCUAGAUCUAAGUACCAAAAAUAUCACAAUUUUCUUAUUCAUAUAAGUAUACUCUCUAAUUGCAUUGUAAAAUGGCUUGAAUUGAAUUGAAGAUAAAGAAGAUAUUCAGCACAUGCAAGCACAUAAAAAUUGGUGGCAUUUUUGAGUUUUUCUUCCAAUGAUUUAAAGAUAUUGUUUUAAUUACAGUUUGUUCCUUAUGACAAUUAUUCAAUGGCGAUAUCAAACUAUAUCAUCGUUGAUUUCAUUUAAGAAAAAAGUUAAUGAAUUUUGCAUACUUUGUAGUGUUAUUUAAUUGUGUAAAAAAAUUAUUUUAAUAUAGUUUGUAUCGCUUUAAUGAAAAAUCCUAUUUUGCCCUCAAUGAAUUACUGGUUAACGAUUUUACACUAAUGGUGAGUUAAUGGAAAGAUAUUUUAGGCUAUUGUUUGAAAAGUAGGGAUAAAAUGAGCUAUUGCAUUAAACUCUAAGGAUGAAAAAUGAUUUUUCCCUUUUAUUAUCAAUCAACUAUCUGAUAAAAGUCAAAACUCAUAUUUUUUUUUCCCUUGUUUCAAUCCCCUCUCAAUCAAAAAAGUUUCCUUGUCUAAGCAAUGAGGAAUAUGGCUAGAAAGAUUGUUAUUAGAAAGAUUUAUCAAUAGUAAUUAGUUCACAACUGAACAGUUUUAGAUUAUUGUGAGUCAAUAUAGGUCCUGUUUAGGAUUGAAGUGUUGCAGUUUUUAAGCUACAGCUGCUGUAGAAAAAAAAACUAUAAUUAUGAAAUAAGAGUUAAUAAUAUAUAAUAAAUAUAAAUUUUAAAUAAUAAUUUUGACAAAAUUAUUAAAAAUAUAAUAGAUUUUUCAUAAUACAAAUAAAAAAAUCAUAUCAACAUAGCUUGCAAGGUACAACAGUUAGUAUGAUGUUAGUUUAUUUUUGCGUCAAUAUAAGUAGUCAAAUUGAAUAAGUUAGUGAAAUGCUGCCUCACUGUCCCAUUGAAUAUGAUUCAGCUAACAGGGCUAGAGCUUGUGGAUGCCAAUGGCACUGAACAAAGUAUUGGGUGGUAAUUUUAAGACCACGCUAUGCCCAAAACCCAAGUUAGGCGAUUACAAAUACGGGAAUCAAUGUCACUUUGCUAGGAAUGGAGAGGAUAGAUUGCUUAGUGAAAUGCAACUUUGUAGAAUGCUGAGAGAUGUGCUGAGAGAUGAGGAUAGUUGUCGAUUUCUUCAUGUAAAUGCUGAGAGAUGUGCGGAAGUUUCUACUCAGUUUAGGCUUAGUUUAAGAAUAGCCUGGUGAUAAACAUUUUGAGUGGUGGAUCUUCUGUGGAUAACAAAAGUAGGUCUAUUCAAUGGGAACGCGACAAGGGGCUGGCUAACUCGCUCAGGUUGUGCAAAUGUUAAAAGCAGAAUGCCAGUUGUAUGAAGUUAUGUCAUUUUCUUUAUAGAACUAUGAAAGCUUGGAGUCCACGAUUCAAUGGAAUCUCGGGCUGUGCCAAUGAUUGUUUCAAGUACUUUUUCUACUUUCAAUGUCCAGACUAAGACUAUUUCUAAGCAGCAAGUGCAGGAUAUAAAGUGCAAAUCAAAAUAGACAGAAGUGAAGAGGAAGAUACGUGGUAUAUAUGUUGAUUGGAUUGAAGAUAUACCACUUUUGCCUAGUUCUUAGAACAAAGCAGAAAGCUGUAGUUAAAAAUAUACCUUCUGCUAAAGAUAAGUAGUCAAUAGUUCUAUUAGUGCAUAACUUUGCGAUUAAGGAUGAUCGCUGUCUAUUUUAAGAGCUUUUAAUAGAAUUUAGUAGCCCUGAUUUUCAAUCUCAGUGUUUUGCGGCUGUUAUCGACAUCCCUCUGUUACAUUUUUCAAGUUUCAUUGAUAAAUUAGUAGUUAGCCUUAUGAAGAAUGCACACACCAUAACCAUGUACGUUAAAUAGCAAACCUGCAUUUUAUUGAACUGUGAACUACUGAUUCAAUAAAGCUCAACAUAAGCUAACAAGUCUUUGUGAAAUUGCUUCAUGGUACAUUGUUUGAAGUAUUUAAGCUAAUAUAUGAUUAUUAAUGGGCUCGUGAGCCAACCCCAUUAAUUAUAUGUACAUAUAUAUAAUGUUACCAUCAAUAUGAUAUGUGACAUCCCAUAACAGCUAAUUAUAGAUCUUUAUCCAUUUUCAUAAUUUGCCUUCUGGCUUCCACUGCUCGUCACUAAAUUCAAAAUCCAUUGCACCUCAAAACAACAUGAGAAAUCUUAUAGGCAAAUCAUGACCAGUUCAAAGAUAAUAGCGAUUAUAGGGAAAGAAAAUUAAAAUCGAAGACGCAUAUAAAAUAAUCAAGCUACUGAUGAACAAAAUAACAUGAAAGUGUAAGUAUUUAUACUAACCUUCACUUAUUAGGAAGUUUGUUUCGCUAUUGGGUAAGAUCAAGCUCUCUGCAUAUCCUAUUGGCAAAAGGAAAUCACGCACGUGUGAUCUCUCUCUCUCUCUCUACACACGCACACAUAUACACACGCAUAUACAUAUACAUGCAUGGUCAUCAUCUUAGAAACCGAUUGAGAAAUUAUUGUCAGAGUUUGAAUUUGCGCAAUGACUAGUCAUGUUGCUAAAAAGAAAAAAGAUUGAGAUUGAAAGAAAUUCAUUAUCAUCAAAUUGGUCCAAUAUCCACUUCACUGUGUGGAUCAAAUACGUUUUCGAAUAGUGCACUGAUCUACAAUCUACUGCAAUAAUUUGUUAGGACCCUACAUCAACAAAUUAUGGGAUUAGUUGGUUUAUUAACCCUAAUACAUCCGGACAAGUCAAUCCUUUCAUGAGAAACAAAAUGAAUUUUGCAUCCCAUGAAACACAACAUACUCAGCUAGUUGAAAUUGUGGAUAUACGGGGGUAACGUAAGCAUGCUUUCACAAUUUGAAAGAUUUAUUUUUUAAGAUUUAGUAUUUCUGGGAUCCUAUUGAGAUAGAGGGGUGGUGAAGGUCUAUAGAUUUUAACUUGACAGCUUCCUAUAACCAAAGAUACAUAACUAUACUAAAUGAGCAUCAUUGAAUUUCAAAGUUAUUCAUUAUAAAUACUUAAAGAAAGAAAAAUAGAUAUUUUGGUAAUAGUAAUACAUUAUACCUUUUCUCUUUUCCAAAUUUGCUUAACCUUACUACAAGGCAAGCUGAGUCCAAUCAGGUUCUCCAAUUCAAAAUCUGAUGUCAGUAUUUUCAAAAGAUAUUUAUGCCAAUGGAGAUUUCUCAAUUCUAUAGGAAGGCAUUUUUUUUUUUUGAAACUGAUUAAGCAUCAGUUGGUUACUGUAUUACACAGAGAUAUAUACAACUGCUAUGACAGCAGGUCAUUACACUGAUAUUUACAAUCAGAUAUAUACAUGUGACUUAUAUUAUUACAUUUUUAUUCUAUGAAGUACAUGCCCAUCCAAAUACCCCUCACAGAGGAGGGAUGUCUCUACUCCACUCCCAUUGCGCAAGGGAGAAAGACGUUGUAAGAAGUCUCCAUACAAUUAUAUUUAAUUGAGGGAGGUUGAGUCCGUGGGGACUCGAACCAUUGCCCUCAUAGUCAUGCUUAACUUUGAGGGCAAUGAUUCACCACUGGGCUACAAGCCCAAGUGGCUAUAGGAAGGCAUUCUAAACCUCAGUGAAGUUACACCCUGGAGCUUAUAAUUAGAACACCAUCAUACUCGGAUAUAUAAAAUUUCAGCAAUCUAAAAUUUGACAUUGUUUUAAAUGCUCCAGAAUCUAAACGUAUGUCUCUUAUCCUGGAGAAUUCAAGAAUAUACUUUCGGUUGCAUGUGUCCCUUCAGAAAAGAAGCAAAUAAUGAGUUCGCAUAAAUUUUCUCAGGAAAAAAAUCCUAAAAUUUAUAAAGAGCUCCUUAAAUGAAGACAAAACCUGCACUCGCUCAACUCUUUUUUUUUUUUUUUAUGUUGUUCUAGUCUUCUUCAAUCCCCCCCUCUAAAACUUUAAUCCAAGCGUUAAGUGUAAGUAAACUAAAAUAUGAUUUUCGUAUGCAAGUACAACACAACAUACCCAUAAAAAUGAAGAGCGGAAGUUAGAAUCAAACCUCCAGCAAUUGAUAUUUUGCAAACUGAUAUUUGAUUCUUCUGAGACUUAUGUAAUCGUUUUGAUGGUGCAGUUUUUGAAUUAGAUUACAUAGCCUCAGGUACUAAUACCAUUUUCACCAUUUUGUUUUUAUUUCAUCUUUCCAUCAAAGAUGAAGGGGUGGGAAAUUAUCAAAGCAGCUGUUAGAUGACACCUGCUUCUAGACCUGCAAGUAAAACCAAAGAAUGAGCUCCAUUAGAUACAUUUGAGUUAAUAAAAUCCCUUGUUCCUCCUAAUGAUUAUAGACAUUAAUUAGGAGGGAGAAAUGAAGUAAAUUAAAUUAAAUGAAGGACCUUCAUUCUCCACGCAUGCAGCCGGCUAUUUUGUUACCAAGUUGUUGAAAGGAAGUAAAUAGAGAAGCAUUCAGAUACCACUCUCCCAGAUCGAUAUUCCUAGUAAGACCAAGGUGUAGUUGUACCACUCGGCCUGUGGAGUUGCUGCAGUCAACCCUUUCCCUUUGUUCAUCUACCCAGUUUUGAAGUCUAUAAGGGGAAUUGAAGAAAUGUUUAAGCCACAAAAGAUCAAAUUCCUCAUGCUCCAAACAUCCCUCACUCCACCCCCCCCACCCCCCGGCGCCCUCUUCUAAUAUUAUUAAUACGAGAACUAACAUUGUCACCAUUUUGAAUUUUGAACCACCCAUUCUAGCUAUAUCUCUAACUAUUAAAAAACACACAUUCUCUCUUUCUCUAUAACUAUAAAUAACAAAAGGGCUCUAUGUUAUUUAUAACAAACACAUCUAACAAUUUAUACACUCAGGCCCCAGCUAGCUUUCAGUUGUCUUCUUUGGUAGUCUUCAGCCUUCUCAAAGACUUUCGUCAUGCCUUACUUUCAGCCUUCCUUUCCAUAUUUGUCAUUUUGCUUUAAUUUUCCACAAUUCUACCUUGGAUGGUAAUAUUUAAUUCGCCACGAAUUGAGUGAAACGCUGGUCCGUUACCCAUCCCACUUCAAUAUUAACAAUAUUAAUAAUAAUAAAUAAAUUCUUCAAGCAAUUGAGAUUUGACACCCACCCCACUUCAAUAUUAAUAUUAAUGGGAAAUCAUAAAUUCUUCUACAAAUGAGUCAUUAUUUUAAAAUUGUUAUAAGCUUAUUUAUUUAAAAAAAAAAAAACGAGAAGGGGAACUUGUUAUCUUAAAAUUAAAAGAUUCUGGUGUGGCUACCCGAAUCCGCACGUUUUUUAAGAUUUUUUUUCCAAUCUUGUGUACCGUUCAACACCUAUAUAUGCUUUGCAAUUGAUUAGUUAACAAAAUAAAAUUCUUGAUCAGUUGUGCGGUAAAAAUAAUAUUAUUUUACAAAGCUUUACCUGGUGCAGUCAAUACGGCUAGAAAUUAAAGGAUCCCCAGCAUGAUAAUUAAGGAAUAAUUAUUAUUCUAGAUUUGUGCAGUGGCGAAGCUAAUAGCAUUUUUCGUUUUCGAGUGAGCUGAACUUUUUCCCCCCCCUAAUUCAAUACAUUUUUAUCGUACAAUAUAAUUUUGUAAAUAAGAAAUUAUAGAUGCACCUAAUAAUGCGCGACAAAAUAAGCUUUACCUCUCAAAAUAUUUGUUCUAAACAUUAUUUAAAAUAAUUUAGACACAUAUUUAUUCACAAAAUGAUGAACAGACAAGAAUUUGAUGAUAAUUGAAGAGGCAGCAUAACUAAUUAAUAUAAAAAUUUUUAUAUAGGUUUCAAUAAAGGAAAUUUUGUAACUAAAUAAUUUUUUUUCUGAGAAGCCCGGCCUUGCCCUCUCCAAAAUUCGCCACUGAAUUUGUGGGGUGGUUACUGGAGUUCACACGUUUUCAAAUUUUUUUUUCCCGAUCAUUCAAUAGUAAUUUUGCUUUUUAGUUUAUUAUUAUUGUUGUUAUUAUUAUUAACUCAGGCAUUUAUUAAAGCUCGAACACAUAAUCUAAACUUUGAUAUAUUUUUUGCUGAGAGGAGUCAAAAUUUGGGAAUUAUAUGCGCAUCAUAACAUAAUAAACAACCGCAAAGUAUCCUACGGAAACUUUCAGUGCACUCUGACAGCAGCUUUUGGUAGUCAAAUAGUCUUGGAAUCAUUUUUUAGCGCAUAUUCUUUUCGGUAAUGUGAUGAAUUCAUAUCUAAAGAAUCAAAACUAUGAUGUGAAUUUGCUGCAAAAACUGAUCCAAGACUAUUCAUUCAUUAUUAAACAUAUGAUAUCGUCCGUAAGACUGGAGAAAUAUGAAUGAAUUUGUUGAUGAUAACUCAGAAGACGGUUAACGGUUAAAUAUGCUAUGUUGAAAUGCACUGUACAGUCAAUUAAUUUAGUUAGGACUCUGUUUCUAGAAAACAGAGUAUAAAAGAUGACUAACUGUUUUGGGAGAUGCUUUUGGAGGGACUUCUAGAUGAAAUUGAGAGAGAGAGAGUGUGAGAGAAACUCUGUAAAGUCUUCUCCAAUUGGUAACCCCUUUUGUUGCGAAUAAUAAAGCUUCAAGGCUGUUCAUUUAUUUGUACAUAAGCAGGGGGAAAGCCUAUGUAUAGACAGCUUCAAAUGAGGAAACUGCACCUAACUACGCAGCAGCUGUAAUGAAGAAGACAUUGAUGCAUUAGCUUCCUGUUCCGUCUUCUUGGUCUUCGGGGAGGUUGGUAGCAGCAACUUUAAUUGUUCAAAGCAAACACUUAUCUUUCGUUUCUCAUAAAACCUCGUGAGGUAAUGCUUUAGAUGACUGGUAUGCAAUAUUGUCAAUGACAAAAUGUAAUGUUGUAUUCUGCUGAUCAACAUGUAAAAACUACAUAUUACUUGAAUUAGUUUUUUUUUUUUUUAAUUUACUAAAUUUCAGAAUUUGUUAACGAUGUUUGUACUUGGUUUUAACUCGAUUAAAGCUCAUGAAACUUAAUUGAUUAAUUAAUCAUUUAGUUAAAUUUAUUCGCUUUCAUGCUAUGGAUCUUUGCUAUAAUAACAAAUGCUUAAUUAUAUGCGUAUGUGUGAUAUAAUAGCUGCGUCUUACAUAGCAUAACACUACACCAAAUAUGCCCCCCUCAGAUACUAAUUAAUUACACAAAUGUACUUUUAUUCAAUUUAUUAUUUAAAAUAAUAUUUGAAAAAAAAUGGACUUGAGCAGAGCAAAGUAGAGAUAAUAAACAAGGGUAGAUUAUGCAUGCGUCAAAAGAUUUUAAAAAAGAAAAAGAGAAAAUAUACGGAAAACAAGAAAAUUGCGGGGAGCCACUCUUGUCUUUUACUUUGGACUUGAAGUCGUUCCAGGUGGAUAAUGUUUUCCUUUUAAAUAUUUAGAAUUAUAUUGUGGCGCUAUUUAAAAUAAGUUAUAAUUUUCUUAAAAUCAGACUAUGAUUACGGUACUCCAUGGUCAGAGUGUCGUUGAAUAAUGCUGAGUCUAUUGAGUCCUUUUCAAAUCGAAACCAGAACUAAAGAAAAAUCCAGAACUGAAACAAGGGCACGAACCAGCAAGAUUUGAAGGAAAAAUUUACUUCGUUAGUGAUCAACAACUAAUCAAACGUAAGUGGAUUUACAGAAGACUUUGUACAGAUCACAAUGAAACAGAUUCUAUGCAAAUUGACGAACAACUGAAGAAGAAAAAGGAUCGUACAACAGGCACUGCUCAUAAGCUUCUAUUUAUACUGAUGUUUCUGGAAACGUUGUAACAGAUUAUAACUAAUUCGUGCCACGUCAGCAUAAAAUAUCUACUAGACCCAUUUAACUGAAGUCAAUCUGCACAACGACUCUGAACCUCUUCAUAUUUUCCAUUUCAGUCCACAGACUCAACUACACACGUCUCCAAAAAUAAUAAGUUUUAUUUAUUUAUUUUUAUUAAUAAAAUAAAUUUUUAUUAACUUUCGUUGAUUUUGGUAGAUUUUGUUUUUGAGCUGUUACUACACUGUCGGCUGGUGUGUCAUCAUACGUAGUAGCGUCAUCAACCCUCUCAUGACUUUGACGGCCGAAACAUGUUUCAUGGCACAAAUAAUGACAGAUUUGUUUGAGGUACGGCGGAGAUGCCUAUUCAAAUAUUUGAAGCCAGCCCCUCCUUGUUUAACAUUUUUUUUUUUAAAAGGGGAACAACUGCUUUAGCUGUAUAUAUCAAGAAAAUUAGCUAACAGUUUAUGCACUUAAUUAUUUAUUUUGCCACACAUUUGUAAGUGGUCAAUGCUGCCGUAAAAUUAUUAGACCCAAAAUAAAGUGUGAUGAGGGACAGGAAUUAAUGUUCCCAUUAGCUGUAGCACCUAUCUUCCAUCUCUAAUUUUAACUUUCGAUUGAUGAAGUGUUUUCAAAUUUGUCAAAUGUCUGUAAACUGUUUAAUAAUUGAAGAAAGUUAAAAUUCAUUUUCUAAAAAUUAUUUUCAUUCAAAAUUGCGAUUGGAUGGUAAUCAGGGUUAAUAUCAGAGCUUAAGAUACUAUAACCGUGAGAACCUAUUGACUGCCAAUUAAAAUAUCCAUUAAAAUGUCUAGGGAGUUAUGAAGGUGGGGGUAACUUCCAAUUUCUAAGGCCACAGAGUAGACAUCAUCCAGGAUCCUAGGAAAGUCCAGUUAACCUCCUGCUCGAUGCAAUUAAUAAAUUUGGUCAAUGCCACUGAAACCUGCUAACUGACGUCACAAUGCGACAUGAGCACUUCAAAAUGGGACGGACAGUCAGUAGCACUGAAUUUUUCUUGCCUAAGAUUGAGCAAUUGGUCUAACUACUAAUCCCUAUUGUAGGUUGAUCAUUAUUUUUUCAAUUAUGUUCAGUUUGACCCAAAAAGUUGCAGAAUCUUGAGCUGAAUAUUGUCACGGAACACUGUCAAUGUCGCUUAGCAUAGCCAACAAACUUGAUGUUAAAACAAACACACAGUGUGUCUCAUGUCUCACAAAUCAAAUUAUCAUCUGUAAUGAUGGAGAAUUUUUCCAAUGUAUGAAGUAUGCUUUGAUACGUGGGUUACCUUGGAGAAGAUAUCUCAAAAUAAAGAAUAUGGGGAGAAAACAGUUCAGUAGUUUAUUAUUCUGUAGUCAAGUUUUGUCUCGAAAAUGGUCAAAAUUUAAAUGAUUAAGGACAGGGGAUCUUCAUUCUUUUUCCCCUUUUUUAUACCAAGAUAUCUCUCAACCUUUAUAUAAUCCCCACUGGAUAUCUGCUUCUCAUAAUUAAAAUAAAAAUUUCACCGCUCUAACAAUAAAAAGUAACAUCUUUAGUCAAAUAAUUUUGCGGUUCCUCAUCAUCUUAGUGUGAGACUAUCAGUACUUCCAAAAACAUAAUAAAACUGGUUUGAUCCUGUUUAUUAAUGUUUAAAUGUUGUUCAUUGUGACAUGUAGAAAUGAUGAGGCGAAGUUUAUUUGGGCAUCAAUUAGUAAGAUCUUGUUCGAAGUUGUUUUCUGAAAUGAACUGCCAAAUGGUAGUUUUUUGGGGGCAUUUGAUGGCUCUUUUUUUUUCCUCAUUUUCAACAUGUGCCUGCUUGGAACAGGAAGGAUUAGGCUUUAGAGUUGUUAUUUAUUUUGAGAUGCUCUGGUCAUUGCACAAUUUGUUCACACUGGAAAUUAGAAUGAGAAAUUUGUUGAUGCUGUUUUGAGAGAUCUGCAUUCUAUGCACAAUAACAUGAUUAAUGAAAAUGUAUUGUAGGACUGGAAAGAUCUGUGGCAGCCUGAGCUCGCAGGAAGAAUUUCAAUGGUUAAUUCUCCCCGAGAGGUUAUUGGUUCAGUUUUGAAGUAUAGGGGAGCAUCAUACAAUUCAAACGAUAUUGAUUCGCAAGUUGCUGGUGGGAAGAUUGCUGUUCAGCAGAAUCUGGCAUUACUGGCAAACCAGGUACUCUUACAGAAAUGAUAUCUGGUCAUUGCAUGUUAUUGCCUGACAACUGAUUUUGUUUGUAAAAGUCUACUUCUUCAUACAUAUGAAUGCAUAUGUUAGUGUUUUCUUCUCGUUUUCAUACAUAUAAAUGCAUAUGUUAGUGUUGUCUUUUCCUUUUCAUACAUAUUACUACAUAUGUUGGUGUUCUCUCCUGAGAUGGAUGCAAUAAAGGCUUUUGCUCCUAAAUUUAGCUGAAGAAAUGGCAAGGGAUGUGAGAUUCUGUCUCAUUAAAUUAACAAAAACCCAAAGCAAUGAAAAUCCAUAAUAAUGUGGUGUGGGUAAAUUGGCUCCAUUUGGUUCGUUUCCUUAAUGUGAAUGCGCGAGCAAUAGAGACUAACAAAAUGAAGUGACAACAAGAAGUCAGUGUCCUUUGAUGGAUGCAUUUUUAGGCAGAAAUAGGUUUGUAAUUGACCAAAUUUGUCUGGCAUGCCAAUUUCAAAAAAAUUAAAUUAUGUGGUUAUUAGCUGUAAUGAAGGGGGAUAGUAGGUGCAAUCAGGUGGAUCCUGGAAAGUUCAAUAAAGUUUUGGUAUGGCGUAGUGAAAUUGGUUUGUGCAACUCAGGAGUCUUUCAGGUGAACGAUGAUAGGUUUUGAUUUAUGAAUAUUAUAAAUCUACUGUGCAUAGUAUUCUAGUAGAAUCAUCUAUAAGUUCUAGUUAUUGAAAUUGUAUACUUUGCCCGGUUUGAGUUAAGGGCACAUGUAAUAUGAAAGAUAGUUGUCGCAUCUUUUAGGUUACCUAACAUUUGAUCAAUCCUAUUAUGGGGGCUUCAAGAUGUCUAACAAUAUGUAGAAUGCCCAUGCUCCUCCCCAUUGUUUAUCUUCUACAAUAAUUUGUUUUAGAUGCUAAUAUCUUUGUCGAUACCGGUAACAAUAUUACAAUAUCUGCGUUUAUUGGGUUUUACAUAGGUUCGACUGUUUGACAGUACACACUAUCUGAAGGCAUUUGCAAUUGGAGAUGUAUGGGUUGCUGUUGGGUGGAUUAGUGAUGUUCUUCCUGCUGUCAAACAUAUGUCUAAUGUUGCUGUUGUUGUUCCCAAGUCUGGUGCUAGCUGCCUGCCAUUCUACUUCGAUAUUCACAUUGUUAUCUCCUUCAUAUUAGCGAUCAGUAAACACGAUAAUGUGACUAAUAAGUUCGUAUUCUCUUUAUAGGCAAUCCCUGCUGCCUCAAGACUUGAAACAAAACAAAUUGGAGGGCGAGUCGGAGGUCCAUCUCCGUUAAUCCAUCAAUGGAUAGAAUUCUGCUUGCAAACAGCGAGAGCAUUACCUUUCAAGCAAGAGGUAAUCCCAGGUGCAUCUCCCUCUGCCCUUGAAAGUACUCUGGUUAAGUUGCCUGAAGAACUUCUGGAGGGUAAACCAAGUCUGGAUACUAACUUAAUUGCUGGAGUACUCCCGGCUGAAAUUCUGGCCAGAUGUGAGUUUUUGGAGCCAUUAUCUGAAGCUACUUUGUCAGAUUAUGAGUGGCUGGUUGUUAAUCUGCAAAAACCUGCUCCUGUCUUGAUGAAAAGGGUGCAACAUUACUUGUCAUCAUUAAUCCAAAGCUUUCUAGCAAGAGCUACAUUGAAAAGUUAAUGGCGCUGCAUGCCAGUCAUUAUAAUGCUGUCAGGACAAUUGGGUCAGGGCAAUUAGGUCAGAGCAUAACUUCAUUAGGAAAGGGGGCUUCAGCUACGUUAAAUAUUACAGGAUGUACUGAGAUGGCUGAAGUUCUUGAGGUUUUAUGAGAAACGAAAGAUGAGUGUUUGUUUGAACAAAGUUGUUGCCAAUCUUGCAGAGUUUGAAAACAAAGAUCACGGAGCGAAUGCCACCGAUUUCUUCAUCAUUUUAGCCUCCAUAAUUGAAGUUUCCUCAUUUGAAGCUGUUUAUGCAUACGAUUUUUCCCUGCUCUAGUACAGGAAAUUGAAGAAUUAACCAGAUGUGAUAUGCUGAAAGAGGGAAGUUUUCUUCCUUGAAUGUGGCCUUUGUGAUUUGUCUUGAAGGAAUAGGAUGAUCACUGGCAAGAACCCUAUCAAGGUAGAUUUUAUGGUGUUAACAUAUUAUUCAGCAUUUUGUUACAUUAGCAAUGAUGCUUUCAUAGCAUGAAAGUGUUUAAAUUUAACUGAAUGAUCUUGAUUGAUCAAUUAUGAGUUUUAAUCGAGUAAAAACUAAAUACAAUAAUCGUAACAAANNNNNNNNNNNNNNNNNNNNNNNNNNNNNNNNNNNNNNNNNNNNNNNNNNNNNNNNNNNNNNNNNNNNNNNNNNNNNNNNNNNNNNNNNNNNNNNNNNNNUGCUACCUUUUGAUUUUAGUGCUUAAUAUUUAUUGAACUAUGAUGCAGGGAAUUUGAAAUCAAACUCGUAAUACAGAUUAUCUAAUUGCGAGUUGCUGUCCAUAGCUGCUAAUUUGUAGUGAUUAUCUAAUUGACUGAGGUGACAAUAAUUCUUUUAUUUUCAAUAGCACAAUGUGGAAUUCAAUAAUUAAAUUCUCCUGUUUAAUUUGUUUCAAGUUAAAUUAUUAAUUACUUAAACUCGGUUUUAAGUCUUUAAUUUUAUGUGUUUAUGCAGAAUUGGAUUCUUGAGCGUGUUGGACACGACCAACAAUGAAAUUGACAGUAAACAAACAUUAGAACAUGUGGACUCCGGUAAGCACCAAUGAAUUUCUAGCCCCGUUGACUCCGCCAACUAAAGUUUUGUAAAAUAAAAAAAAAUACAUAGAAUUCCACCAAAUGCAAAACGCGUAAAAUUUAAUUUUCGGCCGUGUGGACCAAAACAUAAUUUAACAAAAAAGAAAAAAAUGAUAAGAUUUUUAAAAUGUGUGGAAGGUGAUCCAUAUUUUACUGAAACGACUUGUUAAAUUUUUCAAGGAUUUAGAAUAUUUGGUCAUAAAUUACGUGCAUGUUAAUUUUUCCGCCAUUGACUAUCAUAUUCUAGACUUAAUGGUACCUUUUUUGAUGAAGGGUACUUAGUCUCUCUUCUCCUCUUAUAAAAAUUAUAUUAAUUGAUUUCUUGUUAUAGUUAAUAGUCUUCAAGAACGGAUAGAUUUAUUGUUUUCAUGACCAAAUUAUGCAUGCCUAACGUUGCAACUAUUAAUAAAAUUAAUAUUUAAUAUUUAUGUUAAAAGAUAUAAGAUUUUAUGCAUUCAUUAAUUGUUAUUAGCUAAAGGAUGAAUUAUUUUUUCCCAAUCAGUUGAUGCAUCUGCAAGAGUUUUUUUUUCUUUUAUUGACCAUAAUUAUAUUCCGGGUACAAUAAAUUGUCUUUGGUGCUUGGAAGAUAUGACAUCUCUCUGUCAACUUACUGGAAAUAUCUCCUCAUCUACUCUCAUUUAUCUAAUAUCAAUUGAAGAUCUCAUAUUUCCAAACUAUGACUUCCAAAUCUCAUUAUCAUUUGAGCAUUCAAAACUAAUCAAGUGUGGAAAUAAUCAAAUAUAUGCAAAAAUCGAGUCACAAUCUUUGGCCCCUCAAAAUUCUAAUUAUAUAACUUCUAUAUAUCUCAUACAUUUUCCAAAUUCCUCUUCCAUCAACAUCAUUAGGAGUAUGUUCAUCUCUCACACAUUAACUUGAGUGGAGAGUUUCCAAAUUGAUUGUCAGAAAACAACAAAAGAACUAGACACGCUUGAUCUGUCUAAUAAUUCUCUUUCGGUAAAAUUAAUUAAUUUUAGGGGAAUUCAGCCAACCUCUGUAAUUUUAUAGUGAUCAUUAAUUAAUUAAACAAUACAAAUAUCUAAAGUGAUUAGAUGUUUACUGACAAUACAAGUUCAUGGCUUGAAAUUUGAUCUCUAUCGAUUGGUUUUGUAGUGCUUAAUAUUUACAGAACUCCGGGAAUUUGAAAUCAAACUCGUAACUACAGAUUAUCUAAUUGUAAGUUUUUGUCCAUAGCUGCUGAUUUGUAGUGAUUAUCUAAUUGACUGAGGUGACAACAAUUGUUCUUUUAAUUUUCAAUAGCAUAAUGUGGAAUUCAAUAAUUAAAUUCUCCUUUUUAAUUUGUUUCCAAUUAAAUUAUUAAUUACUUAAACUCUAUUUUAAGUCUUUAAUUUUAUGUGUUUAUGCAGAAUUGGAUUCUUGAGCGUGUUGGACACGACCAACAAUGAAAUUGACAGUAAACAAACAUUACAACGCGUUGAGUGUCGACUCCGGUAGCUGCCCUACAAGUCUACAACUUUACAAAAAAUAAUUGAGUACACACAUUCGAUUCUCGGGACCCUUCAAUGAAUUUCUAACCCCGUUGACUCCACCGACAAAAGUUUUGGAAAAUAAAAAAAAAAUUUAUAGAAUUCCACCAAAUGCAAAACGCGUGGAAUUUAAUUUUCGGCCGUGUGGACCAAAACAUAAUUUAAUGAAAAAAAAGAAGAUAAAAUUUCUAAAAUGUGUGGAAAUUGAUCCAUAUUUUACUGAAACAACUUGUUAAAUUUUUCAAGGAUUUAGAAUAUUUGGUCAUAAAUUAUGCUCAUGUUAAUUUUUCCGCUAUUGACUAUCAUAUUCUAGACACAAUGGUACCUUUCUUGAUGAAGGGUACUUAGUCUCUCUUCUCCUCUUAUAAAAAUUAUAUUAAUUGAUUUCUUAUUAUAAUAAAUAGUCUUUAAGAACGUAUAGAUUUAUUGUUUUCGUGACCAAAUUAUGCCUGCCUAAGGUUGUGACUAUUAAUAAAAUUAAUAUUUAAUGUUUAUGUUAAAAGAUAUAAGAUUUUAUGCAUUCAUUAAUUGUUAUUAGCUAAAGGAUUAAUUAUUUUUUCAACCCAAUCUGUUGAUGCAUCUGCAAGAGUUUUUUCUUUUAUUGACCAUAAUUAUAUUCCGGGUACAAUAAAUUGUCUUUGGUGCUUGGAAAAUAUGACUUCUUACUUCAAGUUUGAUAUGUCUCUCUCCAUAAGCUUACUGGAAAUAUAUCCUCAUUUACUGUCAUUUAUCUAAUAUCAAUUGAAGAGCUCACUUUUUCAAACUAUCACUUCCAAGUCUCAUUGUCACUUGCCAUUCUUGGACCAUUCAAAACCAAACAAGUGUUGNNNNNNNNNNNNNNNNNNNNNNNNNNNNNNNNNNNNNNNNNNNNNNNNNNNNNNNNNNNNNNNNNNNNNNNNNNNNNNNNNNNNNNNNNNNNNNNNNNNNNNNNNNNNNNNNNNNNNNNNNNNNNNNNNNNNNNNNNNNNNNNNNNNNNNNNNNNNNNNNNNNNNNNNNNNNNNNNNNNNNNNNNNNNNNNNNNNNNNNNNNNNNNNNNNNNNNNNNNNNNNNNNNNNNNNNNNNNNNNNNNNNNNNNNNNNNNNNNNNNNNNNNNNNNNNNNNNNNNNNNNNNNNNNNNNNNNNNNNNNNNNNNNNNNNNNNNNNNNNNNNNNNNNNNNNNNNNNNNNNNNNNNNNNNNNNNNNNNNNNNNNNNNNNNNNNNNNNNNNNNNNNNNNNNNNNNNNNNNNNNNNNNNNNNNNNNNNNNNNNNNNNNNNNNNNNNNNNNNNNNNNNNNNNNNNNNNNNNNNNNNNNNNNNNNNNNNNNNNNNNNNNNNNNNNNNNNNNNNNNNNNNNNNNNNNNNNNNNNNNNNNNNNNNNNNNNNNNNNNNNNNNNNNNNNNNNNNNNNNNNNNNNNNNNNNNNNNNNNNNNNNNNNNNNNNNNNNNNNNNNNNNNNNNNNNNNNNNNNNNNNNNNNNNNNNNNNNNNNNNNNNNNNNNNNNNNNNNNNNNNNNNNNNNNNNNNNNNNNNNNNNNNNNNNNNNNNNNNNNNNNNNNNNNNNNNNNNNNNNNNNNNNNNNNNNNNNNNNNNNNNNNNNNNNNNNNNNNNNNNNNNNNNNNNNNNNNNNNNNNNNNNNNNNNNNNNNGUAUUUUACUUGGAAGAUAUGACAUCUCUCUGUCAACUUACUGGAAAUAUCUCCUCAUCUACUCUCUUUUAUCUAAUAUCAAUUGAAGAUCUCAUAUUUCCAAACUAUGACUUCCAAAUCUCUCAUUAUCAUUGAGCAUUCAAAACUAAUCAAGUGUGGAAAUAAUCAAAUAUAUGCAAAAAUCGAGUCACAAUCUUUGGCCCCUCAAAAUUCUAAUUAUAUAACUUCUAUAUAUCUCAUACAUUUUCCAAAUUCCUCUUCCAUCAACAUCAUUAGGAGUAUGUUCAUCUCUCACACAUUAACUUGAGUGGAGAGUUUCCAAAUUGAUUGUCAGAAAACAACAAAAGAACUAGACACGCUUGAUCUGUCUAAUAAUUCUCUUUCGGUAAAAUUAAUUAAUUUUAGGGGAAUUCAGCCAACCUCUGUAAUUUUAUAGUGAUCAUUAAUUAAUUAAACAAUACAAAUAUCUAAAGUGAUUAGAUGUUUACUGACAAUACAAGUUCAUGGCUUGAAAUUUGAUCUCUAUCGAUUGGUUUUGUAGUGCUUAAUAUUUACAGAACUCCGGGAAUUUGAAAUCAAACUCGUAACUACAGAUUAUCUAAUUGUAAGUUUUUGUCCAUAGCUGCUGAUUUGUAGUGAUUAUCUAAUUGACUGAGGUGACAACAAUUGUUCUUUUAAUUUUCAAUAGCAUAAUGUGGAAUUCAAUAAUUAAAUUCUCCUUUUUAAUUUGUUUCCAAUUAAAUUAUUAAUUACUUAAACUCUAUUUUAAGUCUUUAAUUUUAUGUGUUUAUGCAGAAUUGGAUUCUUGAGCGUGUUGGACACGACCAACAAUGAAAUUGACAGUAAACAAACAUUACAACGCGUUGAGUGUCGACUCCGGUAGCUGCCCUACAAGUCUACAACUUUACAAAAAAUAAUUGAGUACACACAUUCGAUUCUCGGGACCCUUCAAUGAAUUUCUAGCCCCGUUGACUCCACUGACAAAAGUUUUGGAAAAUAAAAAAAAAAUUCAUAGAAUUCCACCAAAUGCAAAACGCAUGGAAUUUAAUUUUCGGCCGUGUGGACCAAAACAUAAUUUAAUGAAAAAAAAAAGAUAAAUUUUCUAAAAUGUGUGGAAGGUGAUCCAUAUUUUAUUGAAACAACUUGUUAAAUUUUUUAAGGAUUUAGAAUAUUUGGUCAUAAAUUACGCUCAUGUUAAUUUUUCCGCUAUUGACUAUCAUAUUCUAGACUCACUGGUACCUUUCUUGAUGAAGGGUACUUAGUCUCUCUUCUACUCUUAUAAAAAUUAUAUUAAUUGAUUUCUUAUUAUAAUAAAUUGUCUUUAAGAACGUAUAGAUUUAUUGUUUUCGUGACCAAAUUAUGCUAGAUUAAGGUUGCGACUAUUAAUAAAAUUAAUAUUUAAUGUUUAUGUUAAAAGAUAUAAGAUUUUAUGCAUUCAUUAAUUGUUAUUAGCUAAAGGAUUAAUUAUUUUUUCAACCCAAUCAGUUGAUGCAUCUGCAAGAAUGUUUUCUUUUAUUGACCAUAAUUAUAUUCCGGGUACAAUAAAUUAUCUUUGGUGCUUGGAAAAUAUGACUUCUUACUUCAAGUUUGAUAUGUCUCUCUCCAUAAACUUACUGGAAAUAUAUCCUCAUCUAUUAUCAUUUAUCUAAUAUCAAUUGGAAGAUCGCACUUUUUCAAACUAUCACUUCCAAGUCUCAUUGUCACUUGGCCAUUCUUGGACCAUUCAGAACCAAUCAAGUGUUGAAAUAAGUCGAGAGGGGGGGCAAAAUUAGAGUCACAAUUUUUGGUCCCCCAAAUUCUAAUUAUAUAACUUCUAUAUAUUUCAUUGCCAGGUCACGAACUUGUUGGCACAUUUUCCAAAUUCCUCUUCCAUCAACUCUCACACGUUAACUUAAGUGGAAAGUUUCCAAGUUGAUUGCUAGAAAGCAACGCAAAAUCAGACACGCUUGACCUGUCCCCUAAUUCUCUUUUCUACGUUGAAAAAGAAAAAAAAAAUAUAUAUAUAUAUCUAUGUAAAAAUAAAUAAUAAACUGAAUAAAAGUACAUUUGUUUAAUUAACAUCUGAUCGUGGCAUUUUUGGUGUAAUUUCGUGCUGUGUAAGCCACAACUAAAAUCAAACAGCCCCUUAGCAUACUUCUUCCAUUUUAUCUGGUACUUUUGUGGAUCUUAUAGGGUGGGCAUGUGGACAGAAUUUAAAAGUUUUAAUAGUCUCAAAGAAUAAGAUAUGUUAAAGCUAAAGUUGUUGCACCUUCUAAUUAAAUAAAGUUGUACAAUUUCACCAACUUGGAAGAAUUGACAUUAAUGGACUGGUCCCUUCUCCAUAUAUGAAGCCUUCUUAAAAGUUAAUUUUUAUUUCAGAAAAAAAAAGUUAAAGUUACAUAUAUUAUAGUAAGAUUUUUUGAGACCAAUUCCCUUCUUGAAAUAAUAAUGGAAAAGUAUUAAUUUAAUAAUAAAAUGAAUAUGUAUUGAUUAUAUCUUGAUUUUCAUCGAUUAUAGUGAGAGUUUCUCCAAAUCAAUUCCCUUAUUCAAAUAAUAUCGAAAAAAUAGUAAUUUAAUAGUAAAAUAAACAGGUGUUGAUUAUAUAUUCUAAGUUUCAUCGAUUAUGUGAUCAAAGUGGCAUUGUUGAUUUAUUUCUUGUUCAAUGUUAAUUUUUAGGUUAUCUAAAUUUCAAGGAUUUAAAAUCUUUGAUCAUGGAUUACACGCUUGUUAAUUUUUCUGCCAUUGACUAUCAUAUUCUAGACUUAAUGAUACCUUUCUUGAUCAAGGGUAAUUACUCUCUCUUCUCCUCUUAUAAAUUCCUCUUCCAUUAACAUCACUAGGAGUAUGUUGAUCUCUUACAAAACAACAAAAGAACUAGACACACUUGAUCUGUCUAAUAAUUCUCUUUCGGUAAAAUUAAUUAAUUUUAGGGGAAUAUUCGACCAACCUCUGUAAUUUUAGAGUGAUCAUUAAUUAAUUAAACGAUACAAAUAUCUAAAGUGAUUAGAUGUUUGCUGACAAUGCAAGUUCAUGACUUGAAAUUUGAUCUCUAUCGAUUGGUUUACAAAUGGACAUACUUGUGCCUUUGUGGCGAUAAUCGAACAAGUUCCAAUGAUUAUUAUUUUUUCCAAAAACUUUUUUACAACAAAUUCAUCUCGCCAAAAAUUCUAUGUUGCUAGCUAACAAUAAUUGAGCACUUGGCCGCAUUGACUCCACGUCUCCACCUCUUUCUAAAUUCUAAGUAAAAACAUGGAAAUGUAAUUUCCACAAAAUGCCAAACGUGUGGAAUUUAAUUUUUUGCCUUGUGGAUCAAAAUACAAAUGAAAGAAACAGGAAAAAAAAAAAAGGCCCAAAGACUUCUAAAAGAUGAAGAAGUCUUUGGGCCUUUUUAUAAUGGUGGAUUUUUUAAAAGAAAAAAAUAACAACACUUUUAUGGUUGGUUUUGAUAAUCAUAUGUGCGUAUAUACUCUCUAAUUUUCAAAAUGGACACAUAAAUCUUUUUUUUUCACAAAAUAUAUAUUAUUCAUAUUUUUUAUUUUUUAUUAUCAUAUUUUUAUUUAUUAUAAAUGUUUAGAGUAAAUUUUUAGGUUGAAAUAUAAUAAAAGGGUAUAAUCGUUCUCUUAUUAAACACACAUACUUUUAUUAGUUUCUAUGCAUUUGUCAUCUCAAUCUCUCUCAAUUAUUCUUUAUUGCUAGCUCAAAACACGUUGCUGUUGCAAAUUAUAGCAAAAUGACAAAUAUGGAAAAAAAGGGAAGAAAAUUAAUGCAUGAAAGACUUGGAGAAAACAACAAAAUAAGCCAACUAUGAGCUAGUUGGGUGUAUAAAUUGUUAGAUGUGUUAUAUACAAAUAGCAUAGAGCCCUCUAGUUGGUUCUAGAGACAGAAAGAGCGUGUGUGUUUUUUCACAGUUAGAGAUAUAGUUAGAAUGGGUGGCUCAAAAUCAAAAAUGAUGAUAAUGUUUAUUAUGUUAUUAAUAAUAUUUAAAAGUGGGUGGAGUGAGGGAUGUUUGGAUCACGAGAGAUUUGCUCUUUUGCGACUCAAACAUUUCUUCACUGGUCCUUGUAAUUAUCUUUACGACUGGGUAGAUGGUGAGGGAGCUACUGAUUGUUGUCAGUGGGAAAGGGUUGAGUGCAGCAACACCACAGGCCGAGUGAUAACGCUAGACCUUUUUGACACGUAUGGGGGAGAGCACAACUGGUAUCUGAAUGCUUCUUUGUUUACUCCCUUCCAACAACUUGAGUCACUUGAUUUAACUUACAACAAAAUAACCGGUUGUGUUGAGAAUGAAGGUGCUUCGUUUAAUUUAAUUAAUUUACUUUCUCCCCCCUAAUUUAAGUUGAAUAUCAAGACCGAGCAAUUAUAUGCAUAUUCAUUCAGUUGACAAUUUUGACUUUUUUUUUAAAGAUUAAUUUUGAAAUUACACUAGUAUCUAUGAUCCUUUUUUUUUUUAUUUUACUUGCAGGUAUAGAGAGGCUAUCAAGAUUGAACAACUUGAAGAUGCUUAAUUUAAGUGAUAACUCGUUCAACAAUAGCAUUUUAUCAUCACUAACUCAUCUUUCAUCAUUAAGAUCAUUAAAUUUAUAUGGGAAUAGAUUAGAAGGAAGUAUUGACGUUAAAGGUACAUAAUUAAAACUUCAUCCCUUCUCCAAGCUCUUUCAUUAACUUGCUAAAAUAAGAUUCAAGGCUUUGAAUUCAAUUUUUUUUAUGAUUAGUAUUAAAAAAAAACAGUUUUAAGCAAUUUAUAAAUACAAGUUUUAAUCUUUCUCAUAAUUUCAUCUUGUACUUUCAUGUGUCUUGAAUUUAAGAUUA